UUAAUUUUCACUUAUUUACUUUCUUGCGUUCCAGCACAUGAUAAUUCAACCAUUAAAUUCAUAUUAAAUAUGGACCAACCAAAGUUUUCAGUCUAUCAUUAUAUCUAUCUUCCCUAUCCCUUCUCACACCAAAGAUAAAAAAAGCCAGACAAAUAGUUGGACAAAGGAAGUCAAUAGCUUUUUUCGUCCUUCUGCUCCUUGCCGUAGCAACCUCAGGGAAUAUGCUAAAUGGCUGGCAAAAUCUCACGGGUGUUCAUGAAGAUGGUGAAGAAGUAAUUUGGGUCUCUCUUGUGCCGGAUAAGAAGAACUAUAUAACCCAUCACACCUUGAACCGUCAGCCGGUAUGUAAGUCUUCAAUGGAUCGUCUCUGCACCCCAAUCUAUAGUCAGAAGAACAGCGAAUGUACCAUCUACAACCGAUGCAAACAUGGGUAUACGCGCAGCUCAUAAGUCAUAACAGACAUGAAAUAUAUGUUUAUGUCAGCUUUAAAAAAUAAUAUGUCGCUUAUAAGUGUUUGGGAAGGGAAUUCUUGUAAUAAAAGCGUGUGUUUGUAAUCGGUUUAGCGUGUUUUUUUCCUUCUUUUUAGAAUUAGCCUGUUGUUCCUUACUAGUUUCUCUUUGAUGUUGGGAAGUCAUAUUCUAUCAAAUAAUGGCUAUUGUAUCUAGAUUGUUGACUUAAGUUUUUAUAGGGCGAUGAAUGGUAGCUACGGUUAUUUGACCAAGAAAAAAGAACUCAGACAACAAGAAUUAAGAAAAUUAUUUUAAAUUAAUUAACUAAAUUUUUAUUUCUGCUGAUCUACAUUGCAACAAUACACAUAAUGAAAAAGUAAUAUUAUAUAUAAUUAGUUCACCGAUUUUUAUUCUUCUCUUAAUUUCUCAGUGCAAAUCUCUUAUCAAAAUUCUCUAACCUGGAUGGACCAUUAAGCGUGGUGAAUUAAAAUAGAAAAUUUUAAUGUAAAAAAAUUGGUAGGCAUAAGCGUUUGAGUGUCCAACCAGUUCAGUUCGGAGUUAAUUUGAAUUCAGAUUUUUUUGGGAGCACAAAUUUAAUCUUAUUAGGAUAUUAUAAAAGUUUGGUUCGGGUUUACUCUGUGCGGUUCGGAUAUAUAGUAACACACUGAUAACCCGGUUGAACCCGUUUUAAAUUCGAUUUCAGUUCUAAUUUGGGUUUUAAUUAUAUAUACCUAUUAUGACUCGAAAAUACAUAUUUAAGUUUUCAUCAAUUUCAAAAAUUUACAUUAACAAAGGCUCGAUGGCAUAAUUAUAAAGUGGUGGUUAGGAAUGGAGAUACAGAAACAAGUUAUAAUUAGCAACUAACAACUCUAUUAACACAUGAAACAUCAUUUAAACUUAAAAAAAUAGUUUUGAAACUUUUGUAGAAAAUGUAAUUAUAAUCAAACUUUAAAUGCAAUUGUCAAACGAUGAAAUUUUCAAUAUUUGACUAAUUAUCAAAAAUAGUUUAUUUGGAUAUUCGUUUGGAUUUGAGUUCGGUUUGGGAAAGACUCUGAAAUCCAAAAUACUGUAGAACAAAAUCUGUUCGGAUAUUAUGCCAGGCUCACUUCGGUUCAGAUUUUUCUUUUAUCGAGUGGAUCGGUUUGGAUUUCUGGGUUCUGCUUUUACUCGAAAGGGCGAGUACGCCAUUUUUUUUUUUGAGUUUCCAGUUAACACUCCCUUUCCUGAUGAGGGGGAGGUUUGUCUGCGUAUUCACCAAGAGAUUCGCCUGGCUGAUGAUCUUUGUUUGUCGGAGAAAUUUUUUACUGGAAAUGAUAAAUCAUUUUCUUGAUUUAAUAAUUUUGUAAUUGUUAUAAAUCAUAUNNNNNNNNNNNNNNNNNNNNNNNNNNNNNNNNNNNNNNUAUGGUUAUCACAUCCAAUGAGGAGUGUUAUAAAUCAUAUUGUGGAUGUCCAUAACCGGCCCAUACUUAGAGAGAGAGAGAGUCGGCGGCCAUGAGAGAGAGAGAGAGAGAGAGCCGGCGGCUAGAGAGAGAGAAACCUUAUUUUUCUUUUUCCUUAUAGAUCUAUGAUUUGUACUAUUUCCAUAUUUGUAUUUCUUUUCUCUAGUAUUUCCAUUAUUCUACGCCGGUGUAAUUCUCUAUAUAUAAAGGGCUCCUUAUGUUUAUGAAUAAUACAGAAACAUACAGAUUUUAUUCUCUAGUUUCACAACACGUUAUCAACACGAUUACUCUGAAACCCUAAGCUAAACAAUUCGAACCCAAAAACAUGACGAUCUAAACUCUAGCCGGCUUGAACCCUAAUCCCGAUCGAGAAACCCUUUUCACCCCGUAUCCAAGGCGUUCCCGAUCCCGUGUUCAGCAAGGACAGCUCGCGUCCUGAUCUCAGCUUGGACAGCUCGCAUACGACGAUCUCAGCAAGCUCCUGUUCGCGUUCCCUAUCUCAGCAAGCAGUAUGUUCGCGACCCGACGAUAUCAGCUCGAUACUCGACGCGAUCAGUUCCAGCUCGUGACGAUCAGCAAGCAAUCCGUUCGCGGCUCUUCUCUAUUCGGUGGUCCAUUCAACCUGACUUGAGGUUAAGGAAAAACUAAACCUAAUAACCAAACCCUAAGGCAAUAGAUCAAACCCUAAAUACCUAAAAUCGAAUAUAAUUGCUUGAUCAAAAUUGAAACCCCAAUACCCUAAAUCCUAGCCGCACGUAUGCACAUUGCAUAUCAUGCAAACCCUAUUUGAAAUCGAAUUUGGUUAUUUGAGUGAUUGAAUGUUUUGAAUCUGAAUUUGAUCACCUAGAACCAUAUGCUAGAAUUGCUAAUCUCAUUCUUGAAUUUGGUUGAUUGAAUUGAUUGAAUCCGAUUGAUUAGUUCUCAUAUGUUCUAGUCUUGAUUAAAAUCCGACCAGCCUGCUUAAACCCUAAUUGAUGCAUUACUUGAUUGAUUGAUUGAGGUUUCAUGUUUUCAUUCAUAUGAUCACUUAGAAACCGUUUUGCUAGGAUGUAUAAACGAUUGCAUUAAGAUCAUAUAGAAACCGUUUGAUAAGAUUGUUCAUACCUUGUCUUGGCCGUGCGGCUUGUCUUGCAUCAUGCAUGUUCAGAUUGUUUGGUCGUGCGGCUUGUUAGCAUAUCAUGCAUGCAUAAUCGUAUGAACUUAAUGCAUCAUAUCCGUUUGGUCGUGUGACCAAUUUUGCAUAUCUGAUUGUCUUGUAUGCAUCAUAAGAACACUAUAAUCUUAAGAUUGAAACAUAUGAUUUCAGAUGUCGAAAAUCAAAAAAAAACUUGGAUUUUGCUACCCUAAAUCUCUCUGGAGAUAAUUACUUGCAAUGAGCACUUAAUGCUAAGAUCAUCCUAAAAUCCAAGGGACUCGGUGAAUGUAUCACCGAGGGCAAUAAUGCAAGUGAGAAAGAUAGAUACAAAGCGAUAUUGAUUAUACCCCAUCAUCUUAUUGAGAGUCUCAAAGAUCAGUAUUUGACUAUUGAGAAUCCUCUAAACCUUUGGACAAAGUUGAAAACAAGAUAUGAUCACCAGAGAACAAUGUUAUUACCAAAGGCUACGUAUGAUUGGAGGAAUCUCAGAAUCCAGGACUUCAAGUCCGUGGACGAGUAUAACUCGGCCCUAUUUAAGAUAGUUUCUAAAUUGAAACUGUGUGGUGAGGAUAUAAUGGAUAAGGAUAUGCUUGAGAAAACCUUUUCCACCUUCCACACAAGCAAUGUGUUGUUACAACAACUGUACCGUGAGAAGGACUUCUCUACUUAUGCUAAUCUGAUCUCUUGUCUCUUGCUCGCUGAGCAGAACAAUGAGCUGUUGAUGAGGAACAGUGAAUUGAGACCUCCUGGAUCAAACUCAUUACCUGAGGCACAUGCGACCGUAGAGGCUAAGAAAGAGUCGAAUCAUGUCCAGAGUGAUAGCCAACACGGCCGUGGUCGUGGAAAAUGGCAUGGACGUGGUGGUCGAGGCCGAAACUCGUUUGGUCGAGGCCGAGGCAAUUAUAAUUCAUAUGGCCGUGGCCAAGGAAAAUCUUAUGGAGGCCGUGGUCAUGGCCGAGGCCGUGGUACAUCUUUCAAGCCACAAAACUCGACCAAAUCCGUGUGCCAUAGAUGUGGUAUGGGUAUUCAUUGGGCUAAGACAUGUAGGACUCCCAAACAUUUCAUUGACCUCUACCAAGAGAGUUUGUAAGGGAAGAAUCCUGAAGUUCAUAUGACUUAUCAAGAUGGUGAAGAAGAUUUCAAUCAUGAACGAGAUGAUCUCAUGGAUUAUGAAACAUCAGAUUGUUUAAAAGAUCAAAGUUGAUUUCGGCUAUCUAGUGUUUUGUGUUCUUUGCUUUGUGUUUUCUAUGUUUUGAUUGCUUUGAACUUGUUUUGAAUCUUAAUGAAUGAAAGUUUUUGAUAUAAAAGUCUCUAAAGUCUCAUAGAAGGCUACGGCCAGGCUAAUAUCAUGUUGCCUAAGGGUACGCAUCUAGAGAUAUCUGAUGCAUUGUAUUCACCCAACUCUAAGAGAAGCCUAUUGAGCUUUAAAGACAUUCGAAUGAAUGGCUUUCAUAUUGAGACUAAGGGCGAAGGAAACAAAGAGUUCCUUCAGAUCAUAGAGAUCGGCCAAAGGCUAUAAGAAAGACCUUUAAAGACUAUACGUCUUGAUAAUGCUGGUGAGUUCACGUCUCAAGCGUUUAAUGAUUACUGUAUGUCCAUGGGGGUAAGUGUGGAACACUCUGUGGCACAUGUACAUACACAGAACGGCUUGGCCGAAUCAUUCAUAAAACGAAUUAAGCUCAUAGCUAGACCAUUGCUUAUGAGGUCUAAGCUUCCGGCCACAGCUUGGAGACACGCGGCCGAACUGAUUCGUAUAAAGACCGUCUAGUGAACAUAGAUAUUCCCCAUUACAAUUGCUUACGGGUCAUGAGCCAGACAUAUCCCAUCUAAAGACAUUUGGUUGUGUCGUCUAUGUGCCAAUUGCACCACCACAGAGAACAAAGAUGGGACCUCAAAGGAGGAUGGGGAUAUAUGUUGGAUAUGAUUCUCCCACGAUUAUAAAAUACCUUGAGCCAACUACGGGUGAUUUAUUUAAGGCCAGGUAUGCGGAUUGUCACUUUGAUGAAUCUGAACAUCCAACAUUAGGGAAAGNNNNNNNNNNNNNNNNNNNNNNNNNNNNNNNNNNNNNNNNNNNNNNNNNNNNNNNNNNNNNNNNNNNNNNNNNNNNNNNNNNNNNAGGGAAAGAUAGCAGUAAACUGGUAAAAGAAAUUACAUGGAAUCAAACAUCCUUAUCUUGGCAAGAUCCUCGGACUCAAAGAGUGUGAUUUGGAAGUCCAAAAGAUUAUACAUUUACAAAAUCUAGCUAAUCAAUUGUCAGAUUCCUUUGCUGACCCGAAAAGAGUGACUAAGUCAUAUAUACCAGCUGUUAAUGCACCAAUAAGAAUUGAUGUUCAAGAGGGACACAAUCAAGUUGCUACAGAGUCUAGACAACGUUUGAAACGUGGUAGACCAAUAGGUUCCAAAGAUAAGAACCCUCGGAAAACUAAGAAAUGUGUAGAUAAUGAAACCAACGUUGUUAAAACCCUAGACACGACCGCUGCCAUUCCUAAAUCCCAGGACUUAGCCGUGACCGAUCCCAAAACCCUAAUAGCGAUCGCGGCCGAUCAUGAAUGCUUAGAUGCGGCCGGCCCUGAUGUAUCUGAUACUGAUUCUUGGGACGCCAAGAUUCAAGGUACUGAAGGUCAUGACAAUAAUGAGAUCUCAAUAAAUUAUGUCUUGUCUGGGAUACAAUGGAAAAGAAAGAAUGUCGACAUUGAUGAUAUAUUUGCAUGCAAUGUAGCACUUGAAAUCAUGGAUGAUAAUGAGGAUCAUGAACCCACAUCUAUUUAUGAGUGCACUCAACGAUCAGAUUGGAUCAAAUAGAAAGAAGUUAUAAACGUGAAGUUAAACUCUUUAAAGAAGAAAUAUGUCUUUGGACCAAUAGUUUGGACACCAUAUGAUAUAAAACUAGUCAGCCAUAAGUGGGUCUUUGUGAGAAAGAGAAACGAACAUGGUGAGGUCGUUAGAUAUAAAGCACGGCUUGUUGCACAAGGAUUCUCACAGAGACCAGGAAUAGAUUAUGAGGAGACAUACUCCCCUGUGGUGGAUGCUACUACUUUUAGAUUCCUGAUAUCUGGCUAUAAGAGAGAAAUUAGACUUGCGGUUAAUGGAUGUUGUAACUGCAUACUUAUAUGGGCCCCUGGAUAAUGAGAUAUAUAUGAAAGUACCGUAGGGUAUAGAGUUGAAAAACAAAUCGAGUACUCGAGAACAACACUGUAUAAAGUUGAAUAAGUCACUUUAUGGAUUGAAACAAUCAGGCCGAAUGUGGUACAAUAGACUAAGUGAAUACUUAGAAUGAUCCGAUCAGCCCUUGUAUCUUUAUAAAGAAAUUCGGUCAGGGCUUUGUGAUUAUAGCAGUGUAUGUUGAUGAUUUUAAUAUCCUAGGAACCUCUAGAGAAAUCUCCCAAACAAUUGAAUAUCUUAAGAAAGAAUUCGAGAUGAAAGAUCUUGGAAAAACAAAGUUCUGUUUGGGAUUACAGCUUGAGUACAUAAGAGAUGAAAUCCUUGUGCUUCAAAUGGCAUAUACAGAAAAGGUACUCAAGAGAUUUAACAUGGCCGAGUCUCACCCCUUAUCUAGUCCCAUGGUCGUGAGGUCUCUCGGCCUGGACACUGAUCCGUUCCGUCCUAAGACGGAAGAUGAAGAUGUCCUUGGUCUCGAAGUGCCAUAUCUCAGUGCCAUAGGAGCUUUAAUGUAUCUGGCCAGCCACACUCGGCCAGACAUAUGCUUUGCCGUGAACCUACUAUCUAGGUUUAGCUCUUGUCCAACCCAAAGGCACUGGAACGGGAUUAAACAUAUUCUUCGUUACCUGCAAGGAACAAAAGACUUGGGUUUAUUUUAUACUAACCAAAACAAAGAAGUUUUAGUUGAUUUUGCUGAUGCAUGUUAUUUUUCGGAUCCACACAAUGCUCGAUCACAGACAGGCUAUGUUUUCACUCAUGGUGGAACAUGAAGCAGACGAUCGCGGCCACAUCUUCAAACCAUUCGGAGAUCUUGGCUGUUCAUGAGGCCAGCCGCGAGUUGUUCAGAACAGGGGGAGUAUUACGUGUUGUACUCUUUUCCUUUACCAUGGUUUUGUCCCACUGGGUUUUCCUGGUAAAGUUUUAAUGAGGUAACAUCUAAAGCGUAUUACAAACUCUGUAUGGUUAUGACAUCCAAUGAGGAGUGUUAUAAAUCAUAUUGUGGAUGUCCAUAACCGGCCCAUACUUAGAGAGAGAGAGAGUCGGCGGCCAUGAGAGAGAGAGAGAGAGANNNNNNNNNNNNNNNNNNNNNNNNNNNNNNNNNNNNNNNNNNNNNNNNNNNNNNNNNNNNNNNNNNNNNNNNNNNNNNNNNNNNNNNNNNNNNNNNNNNNACUACAACAUUUGUCUUAGGAGCCUUGAAAACUCCUAACAUCAUACUAAAGGUCAAAGAGGUUUGAAACUUUUGUUGUCUCCAUUUCUCCAGAGAAAAUUGAUUUUAUAAUGGUUAGUCCACUAAUUUAUGGAGUAUAUGAAGUUUUACUAAAUUAAUUUAUAAAAACAAUUGAACGAUGUUCAUUUACCAUGAAAUAAAGUUUAGGAUACAUUAAUACAAAUUUAAAAUAUGGCUAGAAAAUUUAAAACAACACUAAAGAUUAUAGACUUUAGUAUAUAAGUAUAUAAAGUAUUUAUCAAAAACUCAAUAUUUUCGUAAAGGUGUUAACACAUAAAUUAUAAAAAAUAUUCAAAAAAUACGACAAUAUUGUUUUAAUGCAUAGUUGCAUCAUGCACUAACAUAUGAUGAUGUUCAAAGAGAUUUGGAGCCUUUGUUGUCUCCGUUUUUCAAGAAAAUAGUGAUUUUAUAGUGGUUAUUUCAUCGAUUUAAGGAGUAUUAUGAAGUUUUACUAAAUUAAUUGAUGAAAAAAUUAUAACGAUUCCCAUAUACCAUGAAAGAAAGGUUAAAAUACAUUAAUUCAAAUGUGGAAUGUGGUUAGAAAUUUUAAAAUAGCACUAAAGAUUAUAGGCUUCAGUAUAUAAAAUAUUUACAAAAAACUCAAUAUUUUCGUAGGGGUUGUUUGUUAACACAUAGAUUUUGAGAAAAUUUCAAAAAAUAUGACAAUAUUGUUUUAAUGCAUAGUUGCAUCCUGCACUAACAUAUGAUGAUGUUCAAAGAGGUUUGGAGCCUUUGUUGUCUCUAUUUUUCAAGAGAAUGGCUAUUUAAUUGUGGUUAUUCCACCGAUUUAUGGAGUAUUGUGAAGUUUUACUAAAUUAAUUGAUAAAAAAUUAAAAAGAUUUCCAUGCAUCACAAAAGAUAGUUUAACAUACAUUAAUACAAAUGUAGAAUGUGGUUAAAUUUUUUAAAACAACACUAAAAAGUAUAUGUUUCAGUAUAUAGUGCAUUUAACGUAAACUCAAUAUAUUUGUAGCAAUUUAUACAUAGAUUUGAGGAAAAAUUCAAAAAAUAUGAAAAUAUUUUUUAAUGGAUAAUUGCAUUCUGCACUAACAUAUGAUGAUGUAUAAAGAGGCUUGGAACAUUUGUUGUCUCUAUUUUUCAAGAGAAUAUCGAUUUUAUAGUGGUUAUUCUACUGAUUUAGAUAGUCUUAUGAAGUUUUUCUAAUUAAUAGAUAAAAUAAUUUACAAUGAUUCUCAUAUACCAUGAAAGAGAGUUUAACAUACAUUAAUACAAAUUUAGAAUGUCAUUAGAAAAUUUAGAACAACAAUAAAAAAUAUAAGCUUCAGUAUAUAGAGCGUUUAACGUAAAACUCAAUAUUUUUGUAGGGGUUAACACAUAGAUUUUGAGAAAAGUUCAAAAAAUAUGACAAUAUUGCUUUAAUACAUAGCUGCCUCAUGUACUAAUAUAUGAUGAUGGUCAAAGACGUUUGGAACCUUUGUUGUCUCCAUUCUUCUAGAGAAUAACGAUAUUAUAAUAAAUAGUCCAUUAAUUUAGGGAGUGUAUGAAGUUUUACUAAAUUAAUUUAUAAAACAAUUGAACGAUGCUCAUUUACCAUGAAAGAGAGUUUAGCAUACAUUAAUACAAAUGUAAAAUAUGGUUAGAAUUUUAAAACAACACUAAAUAUUAUAGGCUUCAGUAUAUAAAGUAUUUACCAAAAACUCAAUAUUUUCGUAAGGGUUAACACAUAGAUUUUGAGAAAAUUUCAAAAAAUACGACAAUAUUGUUUUAAUGCAUAGUUGCAUCCUGCACUAACAUAUGAUGAUGUUCAAAGAGGUUUGGAGCAUUUGUUGUCUCCGUUUCUCCAGAAAAUAGUGAUUUUGUAACGGUUACUUCAUCGAUUUAGAGAGUAUUAUGAAGUAUUACUAAAUUAAUUGAUAAAAAAUUAUAACGAUUCUCAUGUACCAUCAAAAAGAGCUUAAAAUAUAUUAAUAUAAAUGUGGAAUGUGGUGAGAAAUUUUAAAACAACAAUAAAGAUUAUAGGCAUCAAUAUAUAAAACAUUUACCAAAAACUCAAUAUUUUUGUAGGGGUUAACACAUAGAUUUUGAGAAAUUUUCGAAAAAAUACGAAAAUAUUAUUUUAAUGCACAGUUACAUCUUGCACUAACAUAUGAUGAUGUUCAAAGAGGUUUGGAGCCUUUGAUGUCUAUGUUUUUCAAGAAAAUCGUGAUUUUAUAGUGGUUAUUCCAUCGAUUUAGGGAGUAUUAUGAAGUUUUACUAAAUUAAUUGAUAAAAAAAUUAUAACGAUUCCCAUAUACCAUGAAAAAGAGCUUAAAUACAUUAAUACAAAUGUAGAAUGUGGUUAGAAAUUUUAAAGCAAUACUAAAGAUUAUAGGCUUCAGUAUAUAAAACAUUUACCAAAAACUCAAUAUUUUCAUAGAGGUUAACACAUAGAUUUUUAGAAAAUUUCAAAAAAUAUGACAACAUUGUUUUAAUGCAUAGUUGCAUCGUGAACUGUCAUAUGAUGAUGUUCAAAGAGGCUUGAAGCUUUUUUGUCUUUAUUUUUCAAGUGAAUAGCGAUUUAACAUUGGUUAUUCCAUCGAUUUAGGGAGUAUUAUGAAUUUUACUAAAUUAAUUGAUAAAAAAUAUAACAAUUUCCAUAUACCAUUAAAGAACGUUUAACAUACAUUAAUACAAAUUUAGAAUGUCGUUAAAAAAUUUAGAACAACAAUAAAAAUAUAUGCUUUUGAAUAUAGAGUGUUUAACGUAAAACUCAAUAUUUUCGUAAGGGUUAGUUAACACAUAGAUUUUGAGAAAAAAUCAAAAAAUAUAAAUAUUGCUUUAAUACAUAGUUGCCUCCUGUAAUAAUAUAUGAUGAUGUCAAAGAGGUUUGGAACACUACUUGUCUCCGUUUAUUUAGAUAAUAGCGAUUUUAUACUGGUUAGUCCACUAAUUUAGGGAGUAUAUGAAGUUUUACUAAAUUAAUUUAUAAAAACAAUUGAAUGUUGCUCAUUUAGCAUGAAAGAGAGUUUAACAUACAGUAAUAAUACAAAUGUAGAAUAUUGUGAGAAAUUUCAAAACAACACUAAAGAUUAUAGACUUCAGUAUAUCAAGUAUUUACCGAAAACUCAAAAUUUUCGUAGGGGUGUUAACACAUAGAUUUUGAGAAAAAUUAAAAAAAUAUAAUAAUAUUUCUUUAAUGCAUAAUUGUCUCUUGUACUAAUAUAUGAUGAUAUUCAAAGAGGUUUGGAACUUUUUUGUCUCCAUUUCUCUAGAGAAUAACGAUUUUAUAACGGUUAGUCCACUAAUUUAGUUAGUAUAUGAAGUUUUACUAAAUUAAUUUAUAAAAACAAUUAAACAAUGAUCAUCUAUAUUAUUAAAAGAGAAGUACCCAUUUAUAAAUACCCCAAUGAUCAUCUAUAUUAUUAAAAGAGAAGUAUCCAUUUAAAAAUACCCCUAAAUUUUUUAACUUAUUUACACUUCCAUGCCACUGAGAACUAAAUUAAACUACCUAUUUUAAUGCUUGUCUUUUCCAGUUAAAUUAAUGAGUUUUCCUUAAUCAAAUUUAAACUUAAUGUCAUUAAAUAAACCUACCUAUUUUAAUGCUUGUCUUUUCCAGUUAAAUUAAUGAGUUUUCCUUAAUCAAAUUUAAACUUAAUGUCAUUAAAUGAACCUAAAAAUACAUCAUAUUUAACGUAGCUUAUUACGUACGAGUACGGCCCAAUAAUGAACUUGAAUUUUAUUUUUUCGAAAACGUGAAUCACUUGACUUAUGUAAUAUUUAAAAUAUAUUAACUACAAUAUAACAAAUGCAUAUAACCUACCUAUACUUUAGUUUGAAAUGAUCAUGUUCAAGUUUUAUAUAGUCAACUUACAUCAUGCAUCGAUCGAUGUACAAUAUUCAAACCACCUAUAGUUUUCGUUUUCUUUAUAGGAUGUAUCAACCAACCAAUCAUCCCACUGAUUUUCUAAGCUUUAUAAAAAAACAAAUCAAUAAAUACAAACUCAAAAUCCAAUAUCUUCUACUAAUCAAAACAUAAUAUCUUCAAAGUCGUAUCUUUAAUGUACCUAUUAAAUAUAGAAACUGUAACCAUAAUUACACUAAUUAUAAGAAUAGAUUUGAUUCCAAUCAAUUGAUCUAUUACUUCGGUAUUUGAUUUGCUUGCAGAAGAGGAAACAAGAUAUUUAAAAUUUAUAAGAAUAUAAAGAUAUAGAGAUUCCAACCAAUUGUCUAUAUUUGCGUAUGAUUUUCGCAUAAUAAGCUUCAAAUUGAACAUUGAAAAAGAUAGAGAGAUUUUUUUUUAAUCUUUUACCGACACAGAACUUAAACAAAACGAAGAGUUAAAGGUAAUUUUUUUUUUUUACUUACCGGAAAAAAACGGUUACAACAUGGGCUUUCAUAAUAUGGUCUUUUAACAUAUUAAUGUUAUGGACAUUUAAUAAUUAUCUUGACGAAAAACAAAGACUAUAAAUAAUUUAUUAUUAAUAAAAUUAUGAAAUUAUUUACAAUUUGAUGACUAAUUCAUCGCCCUUUUUUAUAUGUUAAAUUUUUCAUAGAAGUUUAAAAAUCAUUUUAUUUUCUUUAAACAUGUAUAACUAAUUUAUAAUCUUUUAUGCCAUACUAAGUCAUAAUAUAAUAUUUCUUCAUAUUUUACAUUAAUAACCAUUGUUUUUAUAUAUCGUUUACAAUUCUCUAAUUACGUCUAUUUGUUCAAUUUUGUAUAUGAUAUCGAAUAUUCAUCAUAAAUAAAUGGUUUAAGAUGCCAAAAAAAUUAUUUACUUGGUGAAUAUAAUACAUCAAAUAUUACAAAUACAUCACUUAGUUAAAUAAAUAACCAUAAACCGAAAAUUUAUACCCGCGCAUUACCAUGAAAGAGAGUGUAGCAUACAUUAAUACAAAUGUAGAAUCUCCUAUAUAUUAAUUGAGGAACAUUUGAAAAAAUGUAACCUCAAGUUUUUAAUAUUUAAAAAAGCUCAUGCUUAGGUGUCAAUCAAUUGAGUACUCAAUUAAUCCUACGUGGCAGCAUUAGAUUCAAUUGGAAAAAUAGUUGAUCCAAAUUCGAUAUAUAAAUAUAUAUAUAUCAAUUAAUGCGUUUGAAUAAUAAAUAUUUGAUAAUAAUUUUUGUAUCUUCCAUCCUUUUUAUUUAAUUUUUAUAUUAUUAAAAUAAAUUAAACAAUCAUAUGAACCAUACAAUAAAAUUUUAGAUUUUUUCUAAUAUGUUAUAUUUUGAAUUUUUAAACGACUAUAAAUAAAGAAAAUGGUUAAAAGUCUCACACUAAAAUUUUUAUGAUCUAUAGUUUAAAAUUUUUGGUUAUAAAAUAUAAAUGAUCAUAAAACCAUAUAUAUGAGUAAAAAUUACAUUUAAUAGAUAUUCAGAUUAAUCUGUAUAGGGCUUAUGAAAUGAUAUAAUUAUGGUUAAACGGUCAAAGCUCAUAUUCAACAAUUAUUAGAAUAUAUAUUCCAUCCCACGCAUGUGCACGGGUAAUCACCUAGGAGUUAUUAAGUAAAAAGUAUUAUUUUAGGGGCAGAAAAUAAAAUAUUCCUUAGACUUAAGAUAAACACAAAUAUAUUGUUUUGGUGGAUAAAAACAAUUUUCUUAUAUGGAGGAAAACACACAAGAAUGUGAUUUUAGUAAGAAGCUAUAUUUAACGGUUUGGCGGGCAAACAAAAAUUUUGCGAUUUUGGCGAGAAAAUUUAAUUUUACGGUUUUUAGACGAAUACACCAUUUCUGGUUUUGGCGGGAAUCUCAAUUUUACAAUAUUGGAGGGAAAGAAAAUUUACGGUUUUGGCGGGAAAACAUGAUUUGCUGGAAAACAAGAUUUUUGCAGUGUGUCAAAUACAAUUUUUGUGGUUUUGGCGUAGAACUCAAUUUUACUCUUUUUACGGGAAAACAAGAUUUUGUGGUUUUGGUGGAAAUCUCAAUUUUACGGAUUUGGCGGGAAAAGUGAUUUUAUGAUUUUGGCGGAAUAAAAAUGAUUUUAUGAUUUUGGCGGAAUAAAAAUGAUUUUGUGGUUUUAGCCGAAAAACUCAAUUUGACGGGUUUUGGCGGGAAAACUAAAUUUUUGUUUUUGGCGAAAAAACUCAAUUUGCGAUUUUUGCAGGAAAGCUUGUUUUUUGUCCAAAAGGAGGAAAACUUUAUUUUAUGGUUUUGGCAGGAAAACACGAUUUUGCGGUUUUGGAAGGCAAGUUCAAUUAUACAUUUUGAGGAAAAAAAAUUCAAUUUUACGGUUUUGGUUGGAAACACGAAUUUGCGGUUUUUGGCAAGAAAACAUAAUUUAGCGGUUCUAACUCAAUUUGCAGUUUAGGCGGGAAAAUUCAAUUUUAUGGUCAUGAUGCGAAAACACAAUUUUACAAUUUUGGUGGAAAAAUCAAUUUUGUAAUUUCGGUGGGAAAACACAAUUUUGUGGUUUUGACAGGAAAACUAAAUUUUGUGAUUCUUGUGGGAAAACUCAAUUUUGAGGUUUUGGCUGGAAAACACGCUUUUGCGGUUUUGGCGAAAAAACAUUAUUUUGCAGUUUUUGCUGGAAUACAUGAUUUUGCGGAUUUGGUGAAAAUACGAUUUUACGGUUUUGGCAAAAAAUGAGAUUUAGCGCUUUUGAUGGAAAAAAUAAAUUUAUAGUUUUGUUGAAAAUUUGGUUUUAUGGUUUUGGCAAAAAAAAAAAAUUAUGAUGAAAGUUAAAAUUUGGUGUAGUAAAUCUGGUUUAGAAAUUUGGUUUGGUUAUUUUUCCUUUAAAUAUCUGAUUUGAGUUUAUGUUUGUUAUAGAUUUUUAUUGGUUUGGUUAUGGAUAACUCAUUAUUCAUUACAAUUCAAACCAUUUUUACCCAAUCCACUCAGUCCAUUAACUCAUUUUAUCUAUUAAUCCAUUUAUGUCCAUUAAGAUCCAUGGUUUGGAUUAGUUUGGAUUGACCCAUUAGUUUUUAUCCAUUUUGAAAUCCCUAGCUAUCCUCCUCUCUGAUGCGUCUUCACAUAAAUCGUCGGGUAAAUUUAUGACUUCAUCAUUGAUACUCAACGUUAUUUCUUGAAAUUUUGUGUAAUUUCUGUACCGUGAGUAACAAAAAUUGAUGAAUGUAUUUGUUGAAACCUUGAUCACAAGAGAAAAUCAAAGGCACAAAGUAGACUAUAUUUAACCAUUCCUGAAAAACUGCCAAACAUUUAUUAUGAACACUCCAGGAGAAAUGGGGGAUCAUGAACGAAUAGAUGCGUUUGUUCACCUGAUUGUCUUUUUUGGCACUGAAAACAUGUUUUUUAGUGGUGUGUACUUCAAUGUUUUUAAUAUUAUGAUUUUUACAGGAAGCAGGUAAGAAAUUAAUUAAAUGCGCUAUUAGGAUUCUUUCUAAAAAAAUGAUAUUAGGAUUUUUUUUCCAAAAAUAUAUUUUUUUCACAUUCAGCACUUUUGUUUAUUGAUUUUAAACUGAACCUAUAGAAAAAAAUAUUAUUAUUUAUUAUUUUUUUUGAAACAAUCAUAACAAAACAAAUGUUAGUUUAUUUUUUUUUUUUUUUGUCAAUAAUUCUGUAAAUUUGUAUAUUAGUUGACCUAUCUUUAAUGGUAUGGAUUACUGGAUUAGCAAUAGAGUCUCCUUCAGACUAGAAUUGGGGUAAUUUCUAAUCCACAUCUGUUGGUUAGUGAGCUCAUUCCGGUUACUAAAUUUGAACGAACUGGAAAUCAUCGAUGAGAUCAAGCCAGAGAAUUUCAUAGGCAGAGGUGGUCAUGGCAAUGUAUACAUAGUGUUGAGAUUACUGAAGUUUGGUAGCUUAUAGAUUGUAUAAAGUAAAGAAGGGUUGCUUCUUGUAAAUCGAGUUCCUGUCCAAGAACAUCAAAAUCUUCUAAGUUAGUUUUAAUCUUAUACAUAAUCAUACAAGACUUCAAUGUUCUGAUAUACAAAUUCAUUUUCUCCAGAGGAUGAAUCUGUAUAUACAAAGUUGAUAUAAAUUAUCACAUAUCUCAAAAUAUGUAUGUAUAUAUCCCCUAUAUAUUAAUUGAGGAAUUUUGAAAAGAUGUAACUUCAAGUUUGUAAUAUUUAAAAAAAGCUUUUGCUUAGGUGUCAAUCAAUUAAGUACUUAAUUAAUCCUAUGUGGCAGCAUUAGAUUCAAUUGGAAAAAUGGUUGGUCCAAAUCCGAGUUUAACUCUAUCUAUAGACAUUAACGAUUAAAUUAAUGAUUAAAUAUAACGAUUAACUAAAGCAAGGUUUUUUAAUCGUACGAACAUUAUCGUAUGAUUAUUACAGUAGCUUAACAAACCUAUAACCCCAACUAGAACCUUGUCUCCGAAAGAUCAACAUUAAACUACUUCCAAAAGAUGACCAUAGCCACCACCUCAGAACCACAGCAUAACACAACCUGCCUCCUGCCAAAUACUGAUCACUCGAGCAGAUUCCAUAGACAUAAUACCAGACAUCGCACCAAACAUUACAAACCCUAUCACCCCAAAAGAGUCCACCAUAACCAGAAAAAAGAGAACCACCACAAAAUAUCCAAGUAGGCCAGCUAAUAGCCUUAAAGGGGUGUCUAGUAUCAAAUUUAAAAUAUAUAUUAGAACUAAAAUAUACCUGAAUGAAAGGCAAACGCAUCCACCACACAACAUGGCUCCUGACUCCAAGAUGUAAACAGACCAACCAGUUAUUAAUAGAACACUUCACCCAGUCCAAAAGCAACACAAUAACAAAGUAAAACCAUACCCUGGUAACACCCAAGGGAUUAACAAAGAAACAAACCAAAUGACUAAAACAGCACCCUGUUUCAAAGGAUUUCAUAAAAGAAUCCGACAUUAUUCAAAAAACCAGAAAACAAAAACCGUGGCCUGCAACACCUUUACUUCACUAAGCACUAUGGCUUAUUUGAGGCCUUCUUAGCUCCUUUAUCUCCAGCCUUAGCCACCUUAGCAAGGAGCUUCUUACGUGGAGAGACGAAACCUGGCCCUGACCGCUUCUUUGGAGCUCCCCCAUUCCCCGCCUUAACACCUUUCUUCAAAGGAGCCUUUCCUGGAUCAGCCACAUCAGUCUCGCCAGCAUCAGCCUCCAGAACAGCUUGCUCCCCCUCCUCUACUCCUUCACCAACAUGUUCUUCCUCUUCCAUACCAUCAGUGAUCUCGCCAUGCUCCCAGUCCUCUAGUUCCUCUCCCUCCUCUAACAGAAGCUCUGAGUCAGAGAGAAGCUCGCCCUCUAACAUCAUAUUAGCCUCAUCCAACGCCUGUGUGUGCAAGGCCCUGUCAUCAUUCUUCUUCACCGCAUCAUCAUCCUCACUCUGCAUCUUCAACACCAGAUUUCCAGCAUGCUCCACUCCCUCUCCAGUAGAAACGAGAUCAUGCCCAGCAGUAGUCUCUUCAAACAAAAGCGCCUUACGUGCUUUAUUAUUCCCACCACUGGCUUCCGCCUCAGCCCCUAUUGGGCCUUCCUCUCUUAAAUACUUACCCACCCCUUUGAAAGCAUCGAACAUCAGUUUUGUGGGAUCAGGUAGCUGCUGUUCUCCUUCCGCAACAGAAGCAAGUUGCUGGCCCCGAUGUACCAUCCCCCUAGGCUGAGGACCACGAGACUGCAUACCACGUCUCCUAUCUCCAUAUCCGGAACCCCUACCAUUUAGUGAGGACCCAUCACCAACACCUCUAGUGAACUUUCCCUUAUAAGGAUGAAAAGGCCCGUCUUGCUUGGAGCUCCCAUGUUUCUCAUACGCAAUACCUUUGCCCUUAUCACCACCUCUGAUGUUUUGUGAACGAGUUUCCCUUAUAACAAAUAUUAGUUUAUAAUGAUGGAAAGUUUGUGAUUAAAAAUUUAUUGAACUUUUAAAAUUUAUAUCCACUAAAAGGCUGGUGGAGUUACUGGGGUAGAUGGAGAUGUCGGAUUGUUUGGACCUCUUGGAACUUUUCUUUCAUUUCAAAAUUUGCUACAGAAGCUGGUGGAGUAGGCGGUCGUGUGAUAACCCAUCUCUUUAUUUCAAUAUCUUUUGUAAAAGCUGGUGAGGUUAUUGGGGUAGGUGGAGAUGUCAUAUUGUUUGGACUUCUUGGAACCUUUCUCUUCGAUCCAAUACUUGUUAAACUUUCGUGACUAGCUAAAGAUAACGUAAUAAAUAAGAACAGAAACACCAGGAGAACCAAUGAAUACCUUUUUUAUUAUUUCCACUACUCCACCAGAAAUGAGCUAAAGUGCUCGUAAUUUUUUUGGUAAUCCCUUUGGGGAGCCUGUAACAAGACAUCACAAAAGUUGGCAUGGGUGACGCAGCUGAUUUUAUUAAGACCUCCUUACCCCCUUUUGUAAGAAAGCGGACUGUCCAACUAUUCACUUUAUUGUGUACCCUCUCAUUUAGAAACCCAAAUAUCUGUAUUUUUGAACCUCCAAGACUCUCCGGAAUCCCCAAAUAAUUCCCCAUUCCCCCAAGAUUUGUAAUGCCUAAGAGAUUGUGGAUGGCCUUCCUCAGAUCCACAGGAACCUUAUGUCCAAAUAGAAUCGAUGAUUUAGAAAAAUUAAUUUGUUGUCCUGACACCAUUUCAUAAUCUCUGAGUAAUUGUAGGAUAACACUACAUUCCUCCAUCGUUGCCUUACAAAAAAAUAAACUAUCAUCCGCAAAUAAAAGAUGGGAAAUUGAUGGGCUUGCCCGUGCAAUUUUUAGCCCUGUUAAUCGUUUUAACCUUUCUUCUUUCCUAAUGUUGGCAAUAAGGGCUUCUGUACAGAGGAUGAAUAAAUAUGGAGAUAACGGGUCCCCUUGCCGCAAACCUCUUUCUGGGACUAUAAAACCUUUUGGUUGUCCAUUUAAUAAGACCUUAUAACUAACUGAUGAUAUACACUGCAUCAUCAAAGCCACCCACUCCAUAGAAAAACCCAUUUUCAGUAGAAGGCGCUGUAAAAAAGACCACUCAACCCUAUCAUACGCCUUACUCAUAUCCGUCUUGAUCGCUAAAAAUUUUCCCUUGCACGAAUUAUUUGUUCUUAACCCAUGGAACAUUUCCUGCGCAAUGAGAAUAUUAUCCGAAAUUAGCCUUCCAGAAACAAAUGCCGAUUGGGUCUCUGAAAUAAGAUUUGGUAACAAGCCUUUUAACCUCUGACAUAGCACCUUUGAAAUAAUUUUAUAUCCAACAUUACACAAACUUAUCGGUCUAAGUUCAGUCAUUCGAUUUGGCCUCGCUGUCUUUGGAAUAAGACAAAUAUUUGUCACAUUCAGUCUUCCAUCAAAACUCCCCGUUCGCAAAAAAUCAUUGACCAUAUCAACCACAUCUCCCUUUAUUAUCGACCAGGACUGUUGGUAAAAAAGCGCAGUCAUUCCGUCAGGACCUGGUGCUUUUUCCGGCUGCAUCAUAAAUAGUGCAGCCUUGACCUCGUCUUCGGUAGCAUCAGCCAUUAGCCGGAGAUUCUGGGCUUCCGUCACUGAGGUUGGUACCUCUUCCAAAAAACCAUCAAACUCAGAUGGCAAAGUUGAUCGAAACAAAUCUGUAAAAUACUUAACCGCCACCUCUUCCACUUCCGUCUCUGUGUUCACCCAAUUUCCUUCCUCAUUAUGGAGACCAAUAAUUCUAUUCUGGAUACGCCUUUGUUUUGUCAAAGCAUGAUAAAAUUUUGUAUUUCUAUCCCCACAUGUAUGCCAUUUAGUUCUACAUUUUUGCUCCCAAUAUUGCUCCUCAUCACGAUACGCCUCUUGCAAUUUCCGUGAAACCUCUAAGACCUCUUCAUUUGAUUUAGAAAAAUCGUUCUGAAUUUCCUCAAGAGCCUCUUGAAGAGAAUUAAUUUUCUCUUUCCCAUAUGGCGGAUUCUGUUCCCUCUAGGUUGAGAUCUCAUGUCUACACCAAUGAAUUCUAUCCACAAUUCCAUUCCUAUCCCAUACACGUCUAGAGUUCCAUCCUCGUGUAAUUGAGUCCAUAAGUCCUUCUUGUCCUACCCAUCUCUUAUCAAAGCGGAAAGAUUUCCUAAAUUUAAUGACUUUAUCAUCAAUCGUUGCGACUAUCGGUCGAUGAUCCGACCCUACCAUACGUAAAUACUCGACGAAAGAGUAUGGAAACAGAUUAUGCCAAUCAUUAUUCCCAAGUGCCCGGUCCAGACGACAUUUUACCACUUGACGAUGUCUCCGACCACUCCAUGAUAAAGUAUUACCAACACUAGGAAAUUCCAUUAAGCCACAAUUAUCUAUCAUAUUAUUAAAAUCUACAAAUGUAUCUGGAUGCCGAAGGUUACCACCUUCUUUUUCAUGAUUGCCUCUAAUCUCAUUUAAAUCUCCAAUAAUAAACCACGGUUCCAAACGGGCGAUACCUAUCCUUGUUAAUCUCUCCCAAACUGGUGCUCUUAGGUCCUGCUUUGGUUCCCCAUAAACAAAGGACAAGAAAAUUCGUUUUCCUUUAUAUUCUGUUUCAAUAUCUAAAAUUCGGUUACUAGACGAAAUAAUAUUGACCUUAUAACUAGAGUCAUAAUAUAACGCCAAGCCUCCACUUCUUCCCUGGGGAUCAACCGUAUGGAGAUGAGUAAACCCAAAAUGAAAUUGGAAAGAUUGAACAAACUCAAAAUUUUGUUUUGUUUCCGACAAAAACAAAAAAGUUGGUCGAUGCUUAUAAUAUAUUUCCCGUAAAUAACUUAUAGUCCAACUAGUUCCGAGACCUUGACAAUUCCAACUUAUAAUCUUCAUAUGUUAAAAAACCUUUACGUGAUACCACUCCAUAUAAACUAUAACCAAACAUUAUACCACCUGUAAACCUUACCAUUAAAACAGGCCAUAUUGUCUCCAUACAAAAAUUAAUUUCAUCUAGCCAACUAACGGGCCAUAAAACAACAGAUUGUCGAGACCACCAUAUAAUCAUGCAUGAAAAACCUGAGACAAACCAACUCAAACCAUCAAAAUUACUUCCUGCCUCGGAAGACAACCCCUUAACGGCAAACUCCGCCACCGAAGACACCAUAGGAACGACUUGCCAACCAAAAUCAUACCGGAGAAAUAGAGCAGAGAAACCAUUGAAACUCAUAUAACCAAGAAAUAAGAAUCUCCUCACCUGUUGUUCCAAAGCAUCACUUAAACCAAAAUUAUCCCAAAUCCAUAACUGGACGAUACCAACAAAGCUCCAUCCCCUCAUCCAUAAAAGUUUACUCUCUGGCACAAAUGAAAACCCCAAACCAACCACCAACACUAUUAUCAUUAUGGUUAGCGCAACACCAUCGAACAAAAAACGAUUCGAAAAAGCCACAAAGCACAUAACAUGAAGACACAGUAGCUUAACAAACCUAUAACCCCAACUAGAACCUUGUCUCCGAAAGAUCAACAUUAAACUACUUCCAAAAGAUGACCAUAGCCACCACCUCAGAACCACAGCAUAACACAACCUGCCUCCUGCCAAAUACUGAUCACUCGAGCAGAUUCCAUAGACAUAAUACCAGACAUCGCACCAAACAUUACAAACCCUAUCACCCCAAAAGAGUCCACCAUAACCAGAAAAAAGAGAACCACCACAAAAUAUCCAAGUAGGCCAGCUAAUAGCCUUAAAGGGGUGUCUAGUAUCAAAUUUAAAAUAUAUAUUAGAACUAAAAUAUACCUGAAUGAAAGGCAAACGCAUCCACCACACAACAUGGCUCCUGACUCCAAGAUGUAAACAGACCAACCAGUUAUUAAUAGAACACUUCACCCAGUCCAAAAGCAACACAAUAACAAAGUAAAACCAUACCCUGGUAACACCCAAGGGAUUAACAAAGAAACAAACCAAAUGACUAAAACAGCACCCUGUUUCAAAGGAUUUCAUAAAAGAAUCCGACAUUAUUUAAAAAACCAGAAAACAAAAACCGUGGCCUGCAACACCUUUACUUCACUAAGCACUAUGGCUUAUUUGAGGCCUUCUUAGCUCCUUUAUCUCCAGCCUUAGCCACCUUAGCAAGGAGCUUCUUACGUGGAGAGACGAAACCUGGCCCUGACCGCUUCUUUGGAGCUCCCCCAUUCCCCGCCUUAACACCUUUCUUCAAAGGAGCCUUUCCUGGAUCAGCCACAUCAGUCUCGCCAGCAUCAGCCUCCAGAACAGCUUGCUCCCCCUCCUCUACUCCUUCACCAACAUGUUCUUCCUCUUCCAUACCAUCAGUGAUCUCGCCAUGCUCCCAGUCCUCUAGUUCCUCUCCCUCCUCUAACAGAAGCUCUGAGUCAGAGAGAAGCUCGCCCUCUAACAUCAUAUUAGCCUCAUCCAACGCCUGUUUGUGCAAGGCCCUCUCAUCAUCCUUCUUCACUGCAUCAUCAUCCUCACUCUGCAUCUUCAACACCAGAUUUCCAGCAUGCUCCACUCCCUCUCCAGUAGAAACGAGAUCAUGCCCAGCAGUAGUCUCUUCAAACAAAAGCGCCUUACGUGCUUUAUUAUUCCCACCACUGGCUUCCGCCUCAGCCCCUAUUGGGCCUUCCUCUCUUAAAUACUUACCCACCCCUUUGAAAGCAUCGAACAUCAGUUUUGUGGGAUCAGGUAGCUGCUGUUCUCCUUCCGCAACAGAAGCAAGUUGCUGGCCCCGAUGUACCAUCCCCCUAGGCUGAGGACCACGAGACUGCAUACCACGUCUCCUAUCUCCAUAUCCGGAACCCCUACCAUUUAGUGAGGACCCAUCACCAACACCUCUAGUGAACUUUCCCUUAUAAGGAUGAAAAGGCCCGUCUUGCUUGGAGCUCCCAUGUUUCUCAUACGCAAUACCUUUGCCCUUAUCACCACCUCUGAUGUUUUGUGAACGAGUUUCCCUUAUAACAAAUAUUAGUUUAUAAUGAUGGAAAGUUUGUGAUUAAAAAUUUAUUGAACUUUUAAAAUUUAUAUCCACUAAAAGGCUGGUGGAGUUACUGGGGUAGAUGGAGAUGUCGGAUUGUUUGGACCUCUUGGAACUUUUCUUUCAUUUCAAAAUUUGCUACAGAAGCUGGUGGAGUAGGCGGUCGUGUGAUAACCCAUCUCUUUAUUUCAAUAUCUUUUGUAAAAGCUGGUGAGGUUAUUGGGGUAGGUGGAGAUGUCAUAUUGUUUGGACUUCUUGGAACCUUUCUCUUCGAUCCAAUACUUGUUAAACUUUCGUGACUAGCUAAAGAUAACGUAAUAAAUAAGAACAGAAACACCACAACUCCAAGUAAACCUUUCAUAUUGUGGUUUUUGUGUCCUUUUGUUAAUUGCUAGAUUAAAUAAAUAUGUGAUCGUAUGAACUGCUUGAAUUGAGAUACUUUAUAGUAUCUGUAAAUGAAGGCAAAUAUUUAGUAUUUACCUACUUAUGGUGGACAAUAUGACCAUUCUAACAAAUAUCUCUGAUGCCCAUUAGUUUUUAUCCAUUUUGACAUCCCUAGCUAUUCUCCUCUAAUGCGUCUUCACAUAAAUCGUCGGUAAAGUUAUGACUUUAUCAUUGAUAACGUAAUUUCUUGAAAUUUUGUGUAAUUUGUCUGCCAUGAGUAAAAAAAAACAGAUGAAUUUAUUUGUUGAAACUUUGAUCACAAGAGAAAACCAAAGGCACAAAGUAGACUAUAUUUAAACAUUCCUGAAUAACUGCCAAACAUUUAUUAUGAACACUGCAGGAGAAAUGAGGGAUCAUGAAUGAAGAGAUGUGUUUGUUCACCUGAUUGUCCUUUUUUGCACUGAAAACAUGUUUUUUUAGUAUUAUACAAAAAAAAAAAAACAUGUUUUUUUAGUGGCGUGUACUUCAGUGUUUUUAAUAUUAUGAUUUUUUUCAGGAAGUCAGGUAAGAAAUUAAUCAAAUGCUAUUAGGAUUCUUUCUUAAAAAAAUUAUAUUAGAUUUUUUUUCAAAAAUAUAUAUUUCACAUUCAGCACUUUUGUUUAUUGAUUUUAAACUGAACCUGUAGAAAAAAAUAUAUAUUUUUUUUUUUUGAAAUAAUCAUAACUAAACAAAUAUAAGUUUAUGAUGAUGGAAAGUUUGUGAUUAUAAAUUUAUUGAACUUUUAAAAUCUAUAUCCACUAAAAGGCUGGUGGAGUGAUUGGGAUAGAUGGAGAUGUCGGAUUAUUUGGACCUCUUGGAACUUUUCUUUUCAUUUCAAAAUUUGCUACAGAAGCUGGUGGAGUAGGCGGUUGUGUGAUAACCCAUCUCUUUAUUUCAAUAUCUUUUGUAAAAGCUGGUGGGGUUACUGGGGUAGGUGGAGAUGUCAUAUUGUUUGGACCUCUUGGAACCUUUCUCUUUGAUCCAAUACUUGUUAAACUUUCGCGACUGCCUAAAGAUAACGUAAUAAAUAAGAACAGAAACACCACAACUCCAAGUAAACCUUUCAUAUUUUGGUUUUUGUGUUGUUUUUUUACUUACUAGAUUAAAUAAAUAUGUGAUCGUAUGAACUGCUUGAAUUGAGAUGCUUUAUAGUAUCUGUAAAUGAAGGCAAAUAUUUAGUAUUUACCUACUUAUGGUAGACAAUAUGACCAUUCUAAUAAAUAUCUCUUUUAAUAGUAUAGAUAUCCAAAGAAAAAACUAGAUCUAACAAAUAACUCUUUGAAUAGAAAGACAUGCAUUUCUUUUGUCCUUGUCACCUUACUAAUAUUAAAAUUGAAUAUCUAAAUUGAUUAAAUGCAUGAACAAAGAAAUUUGUUGACAAAAACACUUUUAGUAAUUAGUACAUUUGAACUCAAAUCUAAUAGAUAUAGAUAAAAAUGUAAAGAAUUGAAACCUUUUUGUAAAAAAAUCUGCUACUCAUACCUAAUCUUAAUAUUAAAUCAAUAGUUAUAUAUUUGACCAAAAGAAAAUCAAUAGUUAUAAAUGUAUAUAUAUAAGGUUUCAACUUAAACAUGUACAUAAUCUAUUUUAUUUAAACAAAACACUAUAUAGAAUCAACUUUAACCUGACGUGUUAUUUAUGAACUGUACCAUUAAAAGGUCUAGAUUUUUAGACAUUUACUGAAGCUAAUGUUGUCAAAUAAAUUUUUAACUACUUAAUUUUAAAAACUUAACUAAUUUAUAAUAUUUUAUCAUAUUUUUAAUUUUUAUGAUUGAUAUAUAUAUAGUAUAUCUUAUUAUAACAAAAUCUUAAACAAAGUUUUACUCUUCAUUUUAAAAAUAUUUAUUUAAAUUUGUAACUAUUGUAAAAAAUAUAAUAAUAAAUAAUAUUCUACUAAAAUUUUAUUUUAAAAUAAAAUAAUUAAGAUUUAAUAAUAUCUUUACAUAUGACAUAUUAAAAACUACAUUGUACCACAAUAAUUCUGUGGUUUUAAAUCACCUGUAAGAAUCUUGUUUUGAAUUGAAAGUGUUAGUUGACAAUGUUAUAUAACUUAGUAAUUUUUGUUCAGUAGUCACAAUCUGAGUUGAAAUAUUAAGUUUAUAACACAACAUAAAAUCUGAAUACAAAAUAGGCGUCAGCCAAACAUGAAGAUAUAAACUAUUAGAGUAAAAGAUAUCAUUCAUUGGUUUAUGUUAGGCGAUUAUACAAGCCACUUUAUUUGCAUCACAUUUAACAAAUUUAAAACCAAUUUUUUUUGUGAAGAGUAAUUAACAAAUUUUCACUACGGGGAAUUCUUGGUCGCGGAUUGUUCACCUCCUUUACAUCUUAUUAGUAAGGUCGUUUCUAAUUUCUAGUGUUCUACUUAACUUUAAGAAAUUAAGUUUUCCGUUAGUAUUUGAUUGUUGUCGUAGUUUUUAUUUUUUUAUCUGCUACUUGUAAUCUCUAUAACUUCUGUCAAAAACUAAAAAUUGUUAUAAAAUUUUACAAAUUUAACAUUUACACCUAAAAAAUAUUAAUCUAAACUCGAUCGUUGCACUUAGUAUUCCUGCAGAAAAUAUUUCGUCAAUAAUUCUGUAAAUUUGUAUAUUAGUUGACCUAUCUUUAAUGGUAUGGAUUACUGGAUUAGCAAUAGAGUCUCCUUCAGACUAGAAUUGGGGUAAUUUCUAAUCCACAUCUGUUGGUUAGUGAGCUCAUUCCGGUUACUAAAUUUGAACGAACUGGAAAUCAUCGAUGAGAUCAAGCCAGAGAAUUUCAUAGGCAGAGGUGGUCAUGGCAAUGUAUACAUAGUGUUGAGAUUACUGAAGUUUGGUAGCUUAUAGAUUGUAUAAAGUAAAGAAGGGUUGCUUCUUGUAAAUCGAGUUCCUGUCCAAGAACAUCAAAAUCUUCUAAGUUAGUUUUAAUCUUAUACAUAAUCAUACAAGACUUCAAUGUUCUGAUAUACAAAUUCAUUUUCUCGAGAGGAUGAAUCUGUAUAUACAAAGUUGAUAUAAAUUAUCACAUAUCUCAAAAUAUGUAUGUAUAUAUCCCCUAUAUAUUAAUUGAGGAAUUUUGAAAAGAUGUAACUUCAAGUUUGUAAUAUUUAAAAAAAGCUUUUGCUUAGGUGUCAAUCAAUUAAGUACUUAAUUAAUCCUAUGUGGCAGCAUUAGAUUCAAUUGGAAAAAUGGUUGGUCCAAAUCCGAGUUUAACUCUAUCUAUAGACAUUAACGAUUAAAUUAAUGAUUAAAUAUAACGAUUAACUAAAGCAAGGUUUUUUAAUCGUACGAACAUUAUCGUAUGAUUAUUGAUCGUGUCUUCUAUGUCUUCAAUGAUUAUUGCAAAACGGAGCCUUUAUCGUCUCCGUUUUUCAAGAAAAUAGUGAUUUUAUAGUGGUUAUUCCAUCGAUUUAGGGAGUAUUAUAAAGUUUUACUAAAUUAAUUGAUAAAAAAUUAUAAAGAUUCUCAUACACCAUGGAAAAGAGCUUAAAACACUAAAGAUUAUAGGCUUCAGUACAUAAAAUAUUUACCAAAAACUUAAUAUUUUCGUAGGAGUUGUUAGUUAACACAUAGAUUUUGAGAAAAUUUAAAAAAAUACGACAAUAUUGUUUUAAUGCGUAGUUGCAUUAUGCACUAACAUAUGAUGAUGUUCAAAGAGGUUUGAAGCCUUUGUUGUCUCCGUUUUUCAAGAAAAUAGUAAUUUGGUUAUUCCAUCGAUUUAGGGAGUAUUAUGAAGUUUUACUAAAUUAAUUGAUAAAAAAUAUUAUAACGAUUCCCAUAUAUCAUGAAAAAUAGCUUAAAAUACAUUAAUACAAAUGAAGAAUGUGGUUAGAAAUUUUAAAGCAACACCAAAGAAUAUAGGCUUCAGUAUAUAAAACAUUUACCAAAAACUCAAUAUUUUCGUAGAGGACACAUAGAUUUUGAGAAAAAAAUUCAAAAAAUAUGAAAAUAUUGUUUUAAUACAUAGUUGCAUCAUGCACCAACAUAUGUUGAUGUUCAAAGAGGUUUGAAGCCUUCGUUGUCUUUAUUUUUCAAGAGAAUAGAGAUUUAAUAGUGGUUAUUCCACCGAUUUAGGAAGUAUUAUAUAUGAAGUUUUACUAAAUUAAUUGAUAAAAAUAUAAAAAUUUCCAUAUAACAUGAAAGAAAAAUUAACAUACAUUAAUACAAAUUUAGAAAGUCGUUAAUAAAUUUAAAACAACAAUAAAAAAAAAAAGAUUUUGUAGAUAGAGCGUUUAAUAAAACUCAAUAUUUUCGUAGGGACACAUAGAUUUUGAGAAAAAUUCAAAAAAUAUAACAAUAUUGCAUUAAUACAUAGUUGCCUCCUGUACUAAUAUAUGAUGAUGGUCAAAGAGGUUUGAAACACUUUUUGUCUCCAUUUCUAUAGAGAAUAGCGAUUUUAUAAUGGUUAGUCUACUAAUUUAGGGAAUAUAUGAAAUUUUAUUAAAUUAAUUUAUAAAACAAUUGAACGAUUCUCAUUUACCACGAAAAAGAUUUUAGCAUACAUUAAUACUAAUUUAGAAUGUGGUGAAAUUUUUUAAAACAACACUAAAGAUUAUAGGCUUCAGUAUAUCAAGUAUUUACCAAAAACUCAAUAUUUUCGUAGGGGUUAACACAUAGAUUUUGAGAAAAUUUCAAAAAAUAUAAGAAUAUUGCUUUAAUAGAUAGCUGCCUCCUGUACUAAUAUAUGAUGAUGGUCAAAGAGGAUUUGAAACCUUUUUUUGUCUCCAUUUCUUUAGAGAAUAGCGAUUUUCUAACGGUUUGUCUACUAAUUUAGGGAGCAUAUGAAGUUUUACUAAAUUAAUAGAUAAAAAAUAUUGAACAAUGCUCAUUUACCAUGAAAGAAAGUUUAGCAUACAGUAAUACAAAUGUAGAAUAUGGUUAAAUUUUUUAAAACAACACUAAAGAUUAUAUGGUUAUUCCAUCGAUUUAGGGAGUAUUAUGAAGUUUUACUAAAUUAAUUGAUAAAAAAGUUAUAAUGAUUCUCAUAUACCAUGAAAAAGAGCUUAAAAUACAUUAAUACAAAUAUGGAAUGUGGUUAGAAAUUUUAAAACAAAAUUAAAGAUUAUAGGCUUCAGUAUAUAAAACAUUUACCAAAAACUCAAUAUAGGGUUUAGUUAACACAUAGAAUUUGAUAAAAUUUCAAAAAAUAUGACAAUAUUAUUUUCAGGCAUAGUUUCAUAAUGCACUAAUAUAUGAUGAUGUUAAAAGAGGUUUGGAGCCUUUGUUGUCUCUAUUUUCCAAGAGAAUAGCGAUUUAAUAGUGGUGAUUCGACCGAUUUAGGGAGUAUUAUGAAGUUUUACUAAAUUAAUUGAUAAAAAAUUAAAUCGAUUUCCAUGCAUCAUAAAAGAGAGUUUAGCGUACAUUAAUACAAAUGUAUAAUGUGGUUAAAUUUUUUAAAACAACACUAAAAAGUAUAUGCUUCAGUAGUGCGUUUAACGUAAAACUCAAUACUUAGAUUUGGGGAAAAUUCAAAAAAUGUGAAAAUAUUUUUUACUGGAUAGUUGCAUCCUGCGCUAUCAUAUGAUGAUGUUUAAAGAGGCUUGGAACCUUUGGUGUCUAUAUUUCUCAAGAGAAUAUCGAUUUUAUAGUUGUUAUUCCACUGAUUUAGAUAGUAUUAUGAAGUUUUACUAAUUAAUUUAUAAAAAAAUUAGAAUGAUUCUCAUAUACCAUGAAAGAGAGUUUAACAUACAUUAAUACAAAAAUUUAGAAUGUCGUUAGAAAAUUUGGAACAACAAUAAAAAAUAUAAGCUAGUGUAUAUAGAGCGUUUAACAUAAAACUCAAUAUUUUCGUAGGGGUUAACACAUAGAUUUUGAGAAAAAUUCAAAAAGUAUAACAAUAUUGCUUUAAUACGUAGUUUCCUCUUGUACUAAUAUAUGAUGAUGGUCAAAGAUGUUUGGAACAUUUGUUGUCUAUAUUUCUCUAGAGAGUAGAGAUUUUAUAAUGGCAUGUCUGCUAAUUAAGGGAGUAUAUGAAGUUUUACUAAAUUAAUUUAAAAAACAAUUGAACGAUGCUCAUUUACCAUGAAAAAGAGUUUAACAUACAUUUAUACAAAUGAAUAUAAUUAGAAAUUUUAAAACAACACUAAAGAUUAUAAGCUUCAGUAUAUAAAAUAUUUACCAAAAACUCAAUAUUUUCGUUGGGGUUAACACAUAGAUUUUGAGAAAUUUUCAAAGAUACGACAAUAUUAUUUCAAUGCAUAGUUUCAUUAUGCACUAACAUAUGAUGAUAUUCAAAGAGGUUUGGUGCCUUUGUUGUCUCCCUUUUUCAAGAGUAUAGUGAUUUUAUAGUGGUUAUUCCAUCGAUUUAGGGAGUAUUAUGAAGUUUUACAAAAUUAAUUAAUAAAAAAUAUUAUAAUGAUUCCCAUAUACUAUGAAAAAGAGCUUAAAAUACAUUAAUACAAAUGUAGAAUAUGGUUAGAAAUUUUAAAGUAACAAUAAAGAUUAUAGACUUCAGUAUAUAAAACAUUUACCAAAAACUCAAUAUUUUCGUAGAGGUUAACACAUAGAUUUUGAGAAAAUUUCAAAAAAUAUGACAAUAUUGUUUUAAUGCAUAGUUGUAUCAUGAACAACCAUAUGAUGAUGUUCAAAGAGGCUUGAAGGCUUUGUUGUCUUUAUUUCUCAAGAGAAUAACGAUUUAAUAGUGGUUAUUCCACCUAUUUAGGGAGUAUUAUGAAGUUUUACUAAAUUAAUUGAUAAAAAAUAUAACAAUUUUCAUAUACCUUGAAAGAAAGUUUAACAUACAAUAAUACAAAUUUAUAAUGUCGUUAAAAAAUUUAAAACAACAAUAACAAUAUAAGCUUUAGAAUAUAAAGUUUAACAUAAAACUCAAUAUUUUUGUAAGGGUUAGUUAACACAUAGAUUUUGAGAAAAAUUCAAAAAAUAAUAACAAUAUUGCUUUAAUACAUAGUUGCCUCCUAUAAUAAUAAAUGAUGAUGGUCAAAGAGGUUCGAAACACUUUUUGUCUUCAUUUCUUUAGAGAAUAGCGAUUUUAUAAUUGGUAGUCCACUAAUUUAGGGAGUAUAUGAAGUUUUACUAAAUUAACUUAUAAAAACAAUUGAACGAUGCUCAUUUAGCAUGAAAGAGAGUUUAACAUACAAUAACACAAAUGUAGAACAUUGUGACAAAUUUUAAAACAAAACUAAAGAUUAUAGGCUUCAGUAUAUCAAGUAUUUAACAAAAACUCAAUAUUUUCGUAGGGGGUUAACACAUAUAUUUUGAGAAAAAUUCAAAAAAUAUAACAAUAUUGCUUUAAUGUAUAACUGUAUCUGGUACUAAUAUAUGAUGAUGUUCAAAGAGGUUUGAAACUUUUCCUGUCUCUAUUUUCUAGAGAAUAGCGAUUUUAUAACGGUUAGUCCACUAAUUUACGAAUUAUAUGAAGUUUUACUAAAUUAAUUUAUAAAAACAAUUGAACAAUGCUAAUUUACCAUGAAAGAGAGUGUAGCCUACAUUAAUACAAAUGUAGAAUAUGGUUAGAAAUUUUAAAACAACACUAAAUAUUAUAGGCUUCACUAUAUAAAAUAUUUAUGAAAAACUCAAUAUUUUCGUAGAGUCACAUAGAUUUUGAAAAAAAAAAUUCAAAAAUAUAACUAUAUUGCUUUAUUACAUAGUUUGCUCCUGUACUAAUAUAUUAUGAUGGUCAAAGAGGUUUGGAACAUUUUUUGUCUCCAUUUCUCUAGAGAAUAACUAUUUUAUAGUGGUUAGUCCACUAAUUUAGGGAGUAUAUGAAGUUCUACAAAAUUAAUUUAUAAAAACAAUUGAACGAUGCUCAUUGACCAUGAAAUAAAUUUUAGCAUACAUUAAUACAAAUGUAAAAUAUGGCUAGAAAUUUUAAAAGAACACUAAAGAUUAUACGCUUCAGUAUAUAAAGUAUGUAUCAAAAACUCAAUAUUUUCGUAGGGGUUAACACAUAAAUUUUGAAAAAAUUCAAAAAAUAUGACAAUAUUGUUUUAAUGCAUAGUUGCAUCAUGAACUACUAUAUGAUGAUGUUCAAAGAGGUUUGAAGCCUUUGUUGUCUUUAUUUUUCAAGAGAAUAGCGAUUUAAUAGUGGUUAUUCCACCGAUUUAGAGAGUAUUAUGAAGUUUUACUAAAUUAAUUGAUAAAAAAUUAUAACACUUUCCAUAUACCGUGAAAGAAAGUUUAACAUACAUUAAUACAAAUUUAGAAUGUCGUUAAAAAAUUUAGAACAACAAUAAAAAUUUAAGCUUUAGAAUAUAGAAUGUUUAACCUAAAACUCAAUAUUUUUGUACGGGUUAGUUAACACAUAGAUUAUGAGAAAAAUUCAAAAAAUAUAACAAUAUUGCUUUAAUACAUAAUUUCCUCCUGUAAUAAUAAAUGAUUAUGAUCAAAGAGGUUUGGAACACCUUUUGUCUCCAUUUCUUUAGAGAAUAGAGAUUUUAUAAUGGUUAGUCCACUAAAUUAGGGAGUAUAUGAAGUUUUACUAAAUUAAUUUAUAAAAACAAUUGAACAAUGCUCAUUUACCUUGAAAGAGAUUGUAGCAUACAUUAAUACAAACGUAGAAUAUGGUUAGUAAUUUUAAAAUAACACUAAAGAUUAUAACCUUCAGUACAUCAAGUAUUUACCAAAAACUCAAUAUUUUCGUACGGGUGUUAACAUAAAUUUUGAGAAAAAUUAAAAAAAUAUAACAAUAUUGCUUUAAUUCAUAAUUGUCUCCGGUACUAAUAUAUGAUGAUGUUCAAAGAGGUUUUGAACAUUUCAUGUCUCCAUUUCUUUAGAGAAUAGCGAUUUUAUAACGGUUAGUCCACUAAUUUAGGGAGUAUAUGAAGUUUUAUUAAAUUAAUUUAUAAACACAAAUGAACAAUGCUCAUUUACCAUGAAAGAGAGUGUAGCAUACAUUAAUACAAAUGUAUAAUAUGGUUAGGAAUUUUAAAACAACACUAAAGAUUAUAGGCUUCAGUAUAUAAAACAACACAUAGAUUUUGAAAAAAAUUAAAAAAAUAAAACUAUAUUGCUUUAUUCCAUAGUUGCCUCAUGUACUAAUAUAUGAUGAUGGUCAAAGAGGUUUGAAACCUUUUUUGUCUUCAUUUCUCUAGAGAAUACCGAUUUUGUAUUGGUUAGUCCACUAAUUUAUGGAGUAUAUGAAGUUUUACUAAAUUAAUUUAUAAAAACAAUUGAACGAUGUUCAUUUACCAUGAAAUAAAGUUUAGCAUACAUUAAUACAAAUGUAAAAUAUGGCCAGAAAUUUUAAAAGAACACUAAAGAUUAUUGGCUUCAGUAUAUAAAGUAUUUAUCAAAAACUCAAUAUUUUCGUAGGGGUUAUCACAUAGGUUUUGAAAAAAAAAUCAAAAAAUACCACAAUAUGGUUUUAGUGCAUUGUUGCAUUAUUCACUAACAUAUGAUGAUGUUCAAAGAGGUUUAGAGCCUUUGUUAUCUCCGUUUUUCAAGAAAAUAGUGAUUUUAUAAUGGUUAUUCCAUCGAUUUAGGGAGUAUUAUGAAGUUUUACUAAAUUAAUUGAUAAAAAUUAUAAUGAUUCCUAUAUACCAUGAAAGUCGUUAAUAAAUUAAGAACAACAAUAAAAAAAAUAUAAGAUUUAGUAUAUAGAGCAUUUAACGUAAAACUCAAUAUUUUCGUAGGGACACAUAGAUUUUGAGAAAAAUUCAAAAAAUAUAACAAUAUUGCUUUAAUACAUAUUUGCCUUCUGUACUAAUAUAUGAUGAUGGUCAAAGAGGUUUGAAACACUUUUUGUCUUCAUUUCUAUUGAGAAUAUCGAUUUUAUAAUGGUUAGUCUAAUAAUUUAGGGAAUAUAUGAAUUUUACUAAAUUAAUUUAUAAAACAAUUGAAUGAUUCUCAUUUAACAUGAAAGGGAUUUUAUCAUACAUUAAUACAAAUUUAGAAUAUGGUGAAUUUUUUUAAAACAACACUAAAGAUUCUAGACUUCAGUAUAUCAAGUAUUUACCAAAAACUCAAUAUUUUCGUCGGGGGGGUUACCACAUAGAUUUUGAAAAAAAUUCAAAAAAUAUAACAAUAUUGCCUUAAUAUAUAUUUGUCUCCUGUACUAAUAUAUGAUGAUGGUCAAAGAGGUUUUGGAACUUUUUUUGUCUUCAUUUCUCUAAAGAAUAGCGAUUUUAUAAGGGUUAGUCUACUAAUUUUGGGAGCAUACGGAGUUUUACUAAAUUAAUAGAUAAAAACAAUUGAACAAUGCUCAUUUACCAUGAAAGAGAGUUUAUCAUACAUUAAUACAAAUGUAUAAUAUGGUUAGGAAUUUUAAAACAACACUAAAGAUUAUAGGCUUCAGUAUAUAAAACAACACAUAGAUUUUGAAAAAAAUUAAAAAAAUAAAACUAUAUUGCUUUAUUCCAUAGUUGCCUCAUGUACUAAUAUAUGAUGAUGGUCAAAGAGGUUUGAAACCUUUUUUGUCUUCAUUUCUCUAGAGAAUACCGAUUUUGUAACACUAAAGAUUAUAUGUUUCAGUAUAUAAAACAUUUACCAAAAACUCAAUAUUUUCGUAGGGGUUGUUAGUUAACACAGAUUUUGAGAAAAUUUCAAAAACUAUGACAAUAUUAUUUUAAUUAAUAUUUGCAUCCUGCACUAACAUAUGACGAUGUUCAAAGAGGUUUGAAGCCUAUGUUGUCUCUAUUUUUCAAGAGAACAGCGAUUUAACUGUGGUUAUUCCACCGAUUUAGGGAGUAUUAUGAAGUUUAACUAAAUUAAUUGAUAAAAAAUUAAAACAAAUUCAUGCAUCACAAAAGAGAGUUUAACAUACAUUAAUACAAAUGUAGAAUGUGGUUAAAAUUUUUAAAACAACACUAAAAAGUAUAUGUUUCAGUAUAUAGUGCGUUUAACGUAAAACUCAAUAUAUUCGUAGCAAUUUAUACAUAGAUUUGGAGAAAAAAAUUCAAAAAAUAUGACAAUAUUUUUUAAUGGAUAGUUGCAUACUGCACUAAUACAUGAUGAUGUUUAAAGACGCUUGGAACCUUUGUUGUCUCUAUUUCUCAAGAGAAUAUCGAUUUUAUAGUGGUUAUUCCACUGAUUUAGAUAGUAUUAUGAAGUUUUUCUAAUUAAUUGAUAAAAAGAAUUACAAUGAUUCUCAUAUACCUUGAAAGAGAGUUUAACAUACAUUAAUACAAAAUUUAGAAUAUCGUUAAAAAAUUUAGAACAACAAUAAAAAUAUAAGCUUUAGAAUAUAGAGUGUUUAACGUAAAACUCAAUACUUUUGUAGGGGUUAGUUAACACAUAGAUUUUGAGAAAAAUUCAAAAAAUAUAAAAAUAUUUCUUUAAUACAUAGUUGCCUCCUGUAAUAAUAAAUUAUGAUGGUCAAAGAGGUUUGGAACCUUUGUUGUCUCCUUUUCUCUAGAGAAUAGCGAUAUUAUAAUAGUUAGUCCACUAAUUUAGAAAGUAUAGAAGUUUUACUAAAUUAAUUUAUAAAACAAUGGAACGAUGCUCAUUUACCGUGAAAUAGAGUUUAGCAUACAUUAAUAAAAAACAAAGAGGUUUGGAACCUUUGUUGUCUCCUUUUCUCUAGAGAAUAGCGAUAUUAUAAUAGUUAGUCCACUAAUUUAGAAAGUAUAGAAGUUUUACUAAAUUAAUUUAUAAAACAAUGGAACGAUGCUCAUUUACCGUGAAAUAGAGUUUAGCAUACAUUAAUAAAAAAGUAGAAUACAGUUAGAAAUUUUAAAACAACACUAAAGAUUAUAGGCUUCAAUAUAUAAAGUAUUUACUAAAAACUCAAUAUUUUCGUAGGGGGGUUAACACAUAGAUUUUGAAAAAAUAUAAAAAAAAACUCAAUAUAUUCGUAGGGGGUUAACACAUAGAUUUUGAGAAAAUUUCAAAAAAUAGGAAAAUAUUGUUUUAAUGCAUAGUUGCAUCCUGCACUAACAUAUGAUGAUGUUCAAAGAGGUUUGGAGUAUUUGUUGUCUACGUUUUUCAAGAAAAUGGUGAUUUUAUGGUGGUUAUUCCAUCGAUUUAGGGAGUAUUAUGAAGGUAAUUAAAUGUAGUGGUAGACAGACAUUUAAUUACACGAUGUGGAGAUCGACGGAACUCUCUCCCAGACCCUCUUCCCCACACUGGUCUUUGACCUCUAGUUUUUAAAGUUCUCUCUUGCCGUGUUUUGUCAGACUUUCCCUGUUUGUAACGGGUUAACCGCUGACACCGGGGGAAAUUUAAAUUGCCUUCCCCUUUUAGGUUUUACCCUCUAGAUCACGCAAUAAGGAGGCCCUUGGACCGCUGGUUCUCUCCGGUGAAACUCAUCGGAAGAAGCCCCUAGCCCGACCAAACUCACCGACGUGCAAAGGAGAUUCCGACCGAUGGGGAUAUUCUGUGGAUGAACUAGGGUCGACUGAAACUCCUCUUGAUUUACUCUCCCUCUCCUUCAAGCUCUCUACCUUUUCACCCCCUUCUCAAGCUCAAGGCGGGAAAUCUGUAACCCAUGGAGGCUCGUAGACUUACAACAGCGGAGAAAGGGAAAGACUUAGCCUCCAAAGAUACCACUUGCAAACGAAUCAGAGCUCCUGACUUUGACUUCUCGGAACUUGUGAAGGAAAACUCGAAAACCUUGAUAGGAAGAACUUUGAAUCACAGAGAGCAACUGGUGGAACAUCUUGUACUUGAACUCCCCAAGAAGUGGGCGCUUAGGGGGAAGGUUCUCGGAGUUGACUUGGGAAACGGUUGCUUCCAAUUCCGGUUUGACCGAGAUGAAGACAUGCAGUGUGUGCUCCUUAACAGGCCGUACCAGCACAACAACUGGAUGGUUAUUCUAGAGCGAUGGGAACCUGUCAUCUCCAGCACCUUUCCAUCUAAGAUACCCUUUUGGAUUACAGUGAAAGGACUCGCACUUCACUUCUGGCACGAGAAAAUGGUAUACAACAUAGCAACUGAACUGGGUCAACUGGAAGACUAUGACAUCACAAUGACCUCAGCUAGGAUCAGAAUACUCCUAGAGGCCUUUGAGCCUCUUACUAUGGAAUCGAUAGUAGAUUUCUCUACGGGAGAAGAAGCCCCAAUCACCUUUGAAUAUGAGAGGAUUGCUAACUACUGCACCAUAUGUAGUAUCCUUACUCAUACAUCUCGCUACUGCACCAAAAAGGCAACGCAACAGAUGCGAAGUAGCCAGAGUAAUCCCCAUUCUGCUGAAAGGUUUGGAGAACCCCCUGUGGGUCGACGUAACUCCUCACAGGUGGACAGAAUGGCAGCCUUUAACCCGAGUUUACCACUGAGUGGAAGACCUAGCAGUCGUGACAACAAAUCUUUCCACCAAAGAGUCGACCGCUAUGGUAGACCUUUUGGAGAUAUGGUCACCUCUGAAGCUUCACGUGUACUACCACUUAGAAACAAGAUAACUCCGGAUAACGACACCCGAGUAUCCCCUCCUCGCUUAAACGGCCCCGCGAGCUUAUCUCAGGGGAGAAGAUCGGUGAAGGAUAGGCUGCAAUUACCAAAACCCCCCCAACUACAAUGGAGAGUCCGAGAGAACUUCAGCACGCCGCCGCUCCCACCACUACCUCCACUCCCAAGUGAACCAAAUGUGAUAACUCCUACACCUACGCUAGGAAGAAACCUCCAUGAAUGUGAGUUUUCUAAACAGAACGUCCCCACAGAAGAAGAAGUUCUUGGGGAAUUAAGAGAGGUUACCCUGCAGUAUGUAAACUGUGCGGAUCCCGUUGAGAGUGCAGCAAGAAGACGCAGAGUGAUCCAGGAGGAACCAAGCAUGAUGACUAAAACCGCUGCCAACAUUGUCGCUGCAGCCACAACUUCAUUUACACGGAAUGUGUUGCAGGAUAGUCCAGCUGCUAUUCUCCUCCCAAACUCUGAAGCCCCCCCAACCGGAUCAAAUAUGACUUCCACUACUGGUGCUAAACGACGAGGACGGCCGCCGGGGGCGAAAAAAGCUCAGGCAAACCCAAAAGCAAUGGGGGGCAGUGCGAAGAAAAGAAUCUUCUCGAAGAUCCAAGCAUCACCAGCUAGGCCAAACUCUACCCCAACUAGCGCAAGAAGAGCCAGAGCCAUCACCUUGAACUUACCUCUACCAAAUGCUGCUGCUCCAACUAAUGGCCCGAGUAUUUCUGGGACCAAGCCGGGUUUUCACAUCCCCAGAACAGUCCAGCGUCUGAAGGAGCUCUCUCAGAACUGCUCCCCUGAUAUCUGCUUCCUCAUGGAAACAAGGAACCAAGACAGCUUUGUGUUGGAUGAGCUCAAAGAUCUAAAUUAUGACUCUCACCACUUAGUGUCUCCUCACGGCCAUGGCGGGGGUGGUCUGGCUAUAAUCUGGAAAAAUCAUGUUGAUGUCAAAGUUCUAUCUGCAAAUCAUAAUUUCAUUGACUCUGUUACUAAAUACAAGAAUACAGAAUUCUUCUGUACCUUUGUUUAUGGUGCUCCUGAAGUCACCCAUCGUCAAGCGGUAUGGGACGCACUGUCAAAUCUUUCAGCCACACGAACUGGAGCCUGGUACCUAACGGGAGAUUUGAAUGAGAUUACCAAUAAUUCUGAGAAAUCAGGAGGGAAGGAAAGGGCUGAAAGCACCUUCUGUUCUUUCAGAAGUAUCCUGGCACAGUGCGAUCUCUUCGACCUUCAGCAUACAGGGAACUUCCUGUCUUGGAGAGGUACAAGAGGCUCCCGAGACAAAGGUACCUACGUGGUCCACUGCAGGCUAGACAGAACACUCUUCAAUAGUAAUUGGUCAGAUAUGUUCCCAACUGCCAGAUGCCACUAUCUACUCUUCGAGGGAUCGAAUCACCGGCCCCUCUUGUCCAUCUUCGACCCUACGAAACUGAAGUCACAAAAAAGUUCAGAUAUGACAGAAGGUUGCGUAGUAAUCUCGAAGUAAAGGCUCUUGUCGAAAAAAUUUGGAACGAGGAUAACAGAUGUGAUGUUAUGCAAAGGAUCUCCAAGUGUCGAAAAGCAAUCACUAAAUGGAGUAAAGAUCAAUACCUGAACAGUAAGAAAGCAAUAGAUGAACUGAAACUCCACCUCGAUUCAGAACUCUCCAAGCCGCUUGCAAACUAACCAGUUAUCUCCUCCUUAAACUUUUCACUACUACAGGCUUACAGAGCAGAGGAGGAAUACUGGAGGCAACGUAGUAGACAACAGUGGCUCUCCUUAGGGGAUAAAAACACGGGAUAUUUCCACGCCUCGGCCCGUGGACGUCGUGCACGCAACAGAUUAUUGGUUAUGGAAACUACUGAUGGAACGCUUGUGUAUGAAGAAGAUCAGAUAGCGUCGGUGGUAACUGCAUACUUUUCUACCAUCUUUACGUCCUCUACCAACGACUGCAAAGACACUGUCCAGAGCGCUCUAACCUCAAGAAUCACAGCAGCUCAGAAUGAAAGGCUUAUUGAAAUCCCAACAGCUGCGGAGAUCAAACAGGCGCUGUUCUCUAUACACCCAGACAAGGCACCAGGGCCUGAUGGGUUCUCGGCCAGUUUUUUCCAGUCUAACAGGAGUACUACGGGACCUGCAAUUAUAAGAGAGAUACAGAACUUCUUUAGGCAUGGAACCUUGCCUCAGUCUCUAAACUCUACACACAUCAGGCUGAUUCCUAAAAUCUCUAGUCCUAAACUGGUCUCUGAUUACAGACCUAUAGCUCUGUGCAACGUUUACUACAAAGUCAUCUCCAAGCUAUUGUCCCUAAGACUCAAACCCCUCCUGUAUAGCAUUAUUUCUAAGAAUCAGUCAGCAAUUGUACCUGGACGAGCUAUCUCCAAUAACGUGCUUAUCACACAUGAGAUCCUCCACUACCUCAAGACCACCAAAUCAAAGAAGCGAUGCUCCAUGGCACUGAAAACUGACAUAAGCAAAGCAUAUGACAGAUUAGAGUGGAGUUUUAUAAAAUGUGUGCUGUCUACUUUGGGCUUUCACGAUGACUUUGUUACCUGGAUCUUGGAAUGCAUCACCACCGUGUCUUACUCCUUUAUGAUAAAUGAUGCGGUGCUAGGGAAGGUUACGCCAGAGAGAGGGAUCAGGCAAGGUGAUCCUCUCUCGCCUUAUAUUUUUAUCCUGUGCAGCGAAGUUCUGUUAGGUUUGCGCUCAAAAGCUCAAAGAGAAGGGAGACUCCCGGGGAUUAAAAUAGCAAAAAACAGUCCAAGCAUUAAUCACUUACUGUUUGCUGAUGACACUAUGUUCUUCAUUCCCACGGAUCAACAAAGUUGCACCACCCUGAAACGCAUUCUCGCUCUCUACGAAGAAGCUUCGGGCCAGCGGAUCAAUACAGACAAGUCGUCUUUAUCCUUUGCUGCAAGAACAACUUCUAGAGUAAGGAAUGAGAUCAAAAGAACACUGGGGAUCACAAAAGAAGGUGGUGUCGGGAAAUACCUAGGUUUGCCCGAACAUUUUGGGCGAAGGAAAAAAGACCUCUUCCAUUCUAUUGUCAACAAGAUAAAAAUCAAGGCUGCUGCUUUGUCUACUAGGUUUCUCUCAACAGCAGGGAAACUGACACUCCUCAAAGCGGUGCUCUCUGCUAUUCCUUCGUUUGCAAUGACAUGUUUCCCACUACCUGUAGGAAUCUGCAAUAUGAUUCAAUCAGCUCUCACACGUUUCUGGUGGGACUCAAACACAGGAAAGAAGAAAAUGUGUUGGUUAUCCUGGGACAAACUCACUAUGCCUAAAGGAAUGGGAGGACUGGGGUUUAAAGACAUACAAACCUUCAACACGGCCCUGCUGGCUAAGCUCCCUUGGCGCAUGCUCACCAACCCAAACUUCUUGCAAUCCCGUGUCCUGCUUGGGAAAUACUGCCACAAAUCUCCUUUGCUCAAAGUCCAACUAGCUAAAGGCGCAUCGCAAGGGUGGGCAUGCAUCUUAGCAGGCCGAGAUCUACUUAGAUCACAUCUUCAAAGAGCUUUAGGUGAAGGAACUGAGAUCAAGGUCUGGACUGAUUCAUGGAUUUCCACCUCGACCCGCGUCAUUCCACACGGUCCUCUCAGGGAGGGAGACAGUGACCUCUUUUUCUCAGACUUAAUUACCAGAGGGGCCUGCGAAUGGAACAAGGAGCUCAUCAAUAAGAUAAUGCCGGACUUCACAGAGGCAAUACUAGAAUUAAAGCCAAGUAAGACAGGAGCUAAGGAUUCUUACAUUUGGUAUCCUUCGAAGUCUGGAAUCUACUCAACAAAGUCAGGUUAUGCAGCAGCCGUAGCGAUGCAGGAACAAGAUCACACCAGCGCAAACAUCCCUAGUACUUUCAACUGGUACAAGUCGGUGUGGUCGAUAUCGACUGCUCCAAAGAUACAGCUCUUCAUAUGGAAAGCUAUAAAUGGGGCUCUACCCACUGGGGAAAAUCUUCAGAAGAGAGGACUGAUGCAGAAUACUCUAUGCGUACAUUGUGGCCUAACAGAAACUACAGAGCAUAUCCUCCUCCACUGUUCCUUUGCAAGACAUGUAUGGAACCUAAUACCGCUCGCAUCUCCUAUUAAACCAGAUGAUUUCCCGCACUUUAUAUCAGCUGUCGGAACAGCAACAUAGUGGCUCUGCUUACCACCCUGUGGUGUCUCAAGUGACAUCUUCUCUGGGGUGGUGUGGAAUCUAUGGAUCACUAGAAAUCAGUUGUUGUUUGAAGCGCGCCCUGCAUCGGCGGAAACUACGGCUCUAAAGGCCUUGAUGGGUGCUCAGGAAUGGACACAAGCUCAGGAACCUCCCCUGAAAGUAACGAAGAACACUCAGAUCCAAGGAAGACCUGAUUCGAUCCCGACCGGAACAGUCGCAUGCAAUACUGAUGCGGCCUGGAGGAAGGAAUCUUCUGAUGCAGGUCUCGCUUGGAUUUCGACUCUUCUACGGUGCUGAUCGUCUCAGAUGGAUGCAAAUUCCAACCCCGAGUUUCAUCGGUUCUUAUGGUUGAAGGGUAGGCGGUGAGGGAAGCUCUUUCCCACGCCCUACACAUCGGUAUCUCCAAAAUCUGGCUUCGAUCAAAUUCUCUAUCGCUGAUCAAGGCGAUAAAUUCGGUUUCCAAGCCGAUGAACCUCUACGGAGUUCUAUCAGACAUCGAAUGUCUCUUUGCGUCUUUUGAUUUCUGUUGUUUUUCCUUUGUCCCUAGAGAAGAAAAUGGGCCUGCGGACAAUCUGUCCAAAGCCUGCUUGUAUCACACUGCUACCACUUGGGCCUGAGGCCGGUUUGAAGUUUAUAAAUUUUCAGUUGUUCAAAAAAAAAGGGAGUAUUAUGAAGUUUUACUAAAUUAAUUGAUAAAAAAUUAUAAUGAUUCUCAUAUACCAUGAAAAAGAGCUUAAAAUACAUUAAUACAAAUGUGAAAUGUGGUUAGAAAUUUUAAAACAACAUUAAAUAUUAUAGGCUUCAAUAUUUAAAACAUUUACCAAAAACUAUAUAUUUUCGUAGGGGUUAGUUAACACAUAGAUUUUUAGAAAAUUUCAAAAAAUAUGAUAAUAUUUUUUUAAUGCAUAGUUGCAUCCUGCACUAACAUAUGAUAAUGUUCAAAAAGGUUUGGAGCCUUUUGUUGUCUUUAUUUUUCAAGAGAAUAGAGAUUUAAUAGUGGUUAUUCUACCGAUUUAGGAAGUAUUAUGAAGUUUUACUAAAUUAAUUGAUAAAAAAAUUAAAACGAUUUCCAUGCAUCACGAAAGAGAGUUUAACAUAUAUUAAUACAAAUGUUGAAUGUGGUUAAGUUUUUUUAAACAACACUAAAAUUAAUAUGCUUCGGUAUAUAGUGUGUUUAACGUAAAACUCAAUAUAUUCGUAGCAAUUUAUACAUAGAUUUGGAGAAAAAUUCAAAAAAUAUGAAAAUAUUUUUUAAUAGAUAGUUGCAUCCUGCACUAACAUAUGAUGAUGUUCAAAAAAGCUUGAAACCUUUGUUGUCUCUAUUUCUCAACAGAAUAUCGAUUUUAUAGUGCUUAUUCCACUGAUUUAGAUAGUAUUACGAAGUUUUACUAAUUAAUUGAUAAAACAAAAUUAGAAUUAUUUUCAUAUACCAUGAAAGAGAGUUUAACAAACAUUAAUACAAAUUUAGAAUGUCGUUUGAAAAUUUAGAACAACAAAAACAAAUAUAAGGUUCAGUAUAUAGAGCGUUUAACGUAAAACUCAAUCUUUUCGUAGGGGUAGUAACACAUAGAUUUUGAGAAAAAAAUCAAAAAAUAGAGCAAUAUUGCAUUAAUACAUAGUUGCCUUCAGUACGAAUAUAUGAUAUGGUCAAAGAGGUUUGGAACAUUUGUUGUCUUCAUUUCUCUAGGGAAUAGCGAUUUUAUAAUGGUUACUCCACUAAUUUAUGGAGUAUAUGAAGUUUUCCUAAAUAAAUUUAUAAAACAAUUGAACGAUGCUCAUUUACGAUGAAAGAGAGUUUAUCAUACAUUAAUACAAAUGUAGAAUAUAGUUACAAAUUUUAAAACAACAUUAAAGAUUAUAUGCUUCAGUAUAUAAAGUAUUUACCAAAAGCUAAAUAUUUUUGUAGGGUUAACACAUAGAUUUUGAGAAAAUUUAAAAAAAUACGACAAUAUUGCAUCCUGCACUAACAUAUGAUGAUGUUCAAAUAGGUUUAGAGCCUUUGUUGUAACUGUUUUUCAAGAAAAUAGUGAUUUUAUAGUGGUUAUUCCAUCGAUUUAGGGAGUAUUAUGAAGUUUUACUAAAUUAAUUGAUAAAAAAAAUUAUAACGAUUCCCAUAUACCAUGAAAAAGAGCUUAAAAAAUACAUUAAUACAAAUAUAUAAUGUGGUUAGAAAUUUUUAAGUAACACUAAAGAUUAUAGGCUUCAUUAUAUAAAACAUUUACCAAAAACUCAAUAUUUUCGUAGAGGUUAACACAUAGAUUUUGAGAAAAAUUAAAAAAAUAUAACAAUAUUGCUUUAAUACAUAGUUGCCUCCUGUAAUAAUAUAUGAUGAUGUCAAAGAGGUUUGUUCUGUUGUUUUUCCUUUGUCCCUAGAGAAGAAAAUGGGCCUGCGGACAAUCUGUCCAAAGCCUGCUUGUAUCACACUGCUACCACUUGGGCCUGAGGCCGGUUUGAAGUUUAUAAAUUUUCAGUUGUUCAAAAAAAAAGGGAGUAUUAUGAAGUUUUACUAAAUUAAUUGAUAAAAAAUUAUAAUGAUUCUCAUAUACCAUGAAAAAGAGCUUAAAAUACAUUAAUACAAAUGUGAAAUGUGGUUAGAAAUUUUAAAACAACAUUAAAUAUUAUAGGCUUCAAUAUUUAAAACAUUUACCAAAAACUAUAUAUUUUCGUAGGGGUUAGUUAACACAUAGAUUUUUAGAAAAUUUCAAAAAAUAUGAUAAUAUUUUUUUAAUGCAUAGUUGCAUCCUGCACUAACAUAUGAUAAUGUUCAAAAAGGUUUGGAGCCUUUUGUUGUCUUUAUUUUUCAAGAGAAUAGAGAUUUAAUAGUGGUUAUUCUACCGAUUUAGGAAGUAUUAUGAAGUUUUACUAAAUUAAUUGAUAAAAAAAUUAAAACGAUUUCCAUGCAUCACGAAAGAGAGUUUAACAUAUAUUAAUACAAAUGUUGAAUGUGGUUAAGUUUUUUUAAACAACACUAAAAUUAAUAUGCUUCGGUAUAUAGUGUGUUUAACGUAAAACUCAAUAUAUUCGUAGCAAUUUAUACAUAGAUUUGGAGAAAAAUUCAAAAAAUAUGAAAAUAUUUUUUAAUAGAUAGUUGCAUCCUGCACUAACAUAUGAUGAUGUUCAAAAAAGCUUGAAACCUUUGUUGUCUCUAUUUCUCAACAGAAUAUCGAUUUUAUAGUGCUUAUUCCACUGAUUUAGAUAGUAUUACGAAGUUUUACUAAUUAAUUGAUAAAACAAAAUUAGAAUUAUUUUCAUAUACCAUGAAAGAGAGUUUAACAAACAUUAAUACAAAUUUAGAAUGUCGUUUGAAAAUUUAGAACAACAAAAACAAAUAUAAGGUUCAGUAUAUAGAGCGUUUAACGUAAAACUCAAUCUUUUCGUAGGGGUAGUAACACAUAGAUUUUGAGAAAAAAAUCAAAAAAUAGAGCAAUAUUGCAUUAAUACAUAGUUGCCUUCAGUACGAAUAUAUGAUAUGGUCAAAGAGGUUUGGAACAUUUGUUGUCUUCAUUUCUCUAGGGAAUAGCGAUUUUAUAAUGGUUACUCCACUAAUUUAUGGAGUAUAUGAAGUUUUCCUAAAUAAAUUUAUAAAACAAUUGAACGAUGCUCAUUUACGAUGAAAGAGAGUUUAUCAUACAUUAAUACAAAUGUAGAAUAUAGUUACAAAUUUUAAAACAACAUUAAAGAUUAUAUGCUUCAGUAUAUAAAGUAUUUACCAAAAGCUAAAUAUUUUUGUAGGGUUAACACAUAGAUUUUGAGAAAAUUUAAAAAAAUACGACAAUAUUGCAUCCUGCACUAACAUAUGAUGAUGUUCAAAUAGGUUUAGAGCCUUUGUUGUAACUGUUUUUCAAGAAAAUAGUGAUUUUAUAGUGGUUAUUCCAUCGAUUUAGGGAGUAUUAUGAAGUUUUACUAAAUUAAUUGAUAAAAAAAAUUAUAACGAUUCCCAUAUACCAUGAAAAAGAGCUUAAAAAAUACAUUAAUACAAAUAUAUAAUGUGGUUAGAAAUUUUUAAGUAACACUAAAGAUUAUAGGCUUCAUUAUAUAAAACAUUUACCAAAAACUCAAUAUUUUCGUAGAGGUUAACACAUAGAUUUUGAGAAAAAUUAAAAAAAUAUAACAAUAUUGCUUUAAUACAUAGUUGCCUCCUGUAAUAAUAUAUGAUGGUGGUGAAAGAGGUUUGGAAAACUUUGUGUCUCCAUUUCUCUAGAGAAUUGCGAUUUUAUAACGGUUAGUCCACUAAUUUAGGGACUAUAUGAAGUUUUACUAAAUUAACUUAUCAAAAAAAUUGAACGAUGCUCAUUUAGCAUGAAAGAGAGUUUAACAUACAUUAAUAAAAAUGUAGAAUAUUGUGAAAAAUUUUAAAACAACACUAAAGAUUAUAGGCUUCAGUAUAUCAAGUACUUCAAAAAUUCAAUAUUUUCGUAGGGGACACAUAGAUUUUGAGAAAAUUUCAAAAAAUAUAACAAUAUUUCUUUAAUACGUAAUUGUCUUAUGUACUAAUAUAUGAUGAUGGUUAAAGAAGUUUGGAACCUUUUUUAUCUCCAUUUCUCAAGAGAAUAACGAUUUUAUAACGGUUAUUCCACUAAUUUAGGGAGUAUAUGAAGUUGUACUAAAUUAAUUUAUAAAAACUAUUGAACAAUGCUCAUUUACCAUUAAAGAGAGUUUAGUAUACAUUAAUACAAAUGUAGAAUAUGCUUAAAAAUUUUAAAACAACACUAAAGAUUAUAGGCUUCAGUAUAUAAAAUAUAUACCAAAAACUCAAUAUUUUGGUAGGGGUUAACACACAGAUUUUGGAAAAAAAUGUAAGAAAAUAUAACUAUAUUGCUUUAUUGCAUAGUUGCCUCAUGUACUAAUAUAUUAUGACGGUCAAAGAGGUUUGGAACCUUUUUUGUCUCCAUUUCUCUAGAGAAUAGCGAUUUUAUAAUGGUUAGUCCACUAAUUUCGGGAGUAUGUGAAGUUUUACUAAAUUAAUUUAUAAAAACAAUUGAACGAUGUUCAUUUACCGUGAAAUAAAUUUUAGCAUACAUUAAUACAAAUGUAAAAUAUGGCUAGAAAUUUUAGAACAACACGAAAAACUAUAGGCUUUAGUAUAUAAAGUAUUUAUCAAAAACUCAAUAUUUUCGUAGGGGGGUUAACACAUAGAUGUUGAAUAAAAUUCAAAAAAUACGACAAUAUUGUUUUAAUGCAUAGUUACAUCAUGCACUAACAUAUGAUGAUGUUCAAAGAGGUUUGAGGCCUUUGUUGUCUCCGUUUUCAAGAAAAAUGUGAUUUUAUAGUGGUUAUUCCAUCGAUAUGGAGUAUUAUGAAGUUUUCUAAUUUAAUUGAUGAAAAAAAUUAGAAUGAUUCUCAUAUACCAUGAAAAAGAGAUUAAAAUACAUUAAUACAAAUGUGGAAUGUGGUUAGAAAUUUUAAAACAACACUAAAGAUUAUAGAUUUCAGUAUAUAAAACAUUUACCAAAAAACUCAAUAUUUUCGUAGGGGUUAUUAGUUAACACAUAGAUUUUGAGAAAAUUUCAAAAAAUAUGAUAAUAUUUUUUAAAUGCAUAUUUACAUCAUGCACUAACAUAUGACAAUGUUCAAAAAGAGGUUUGAACUUUGAAGCCUUUGUUGUCUAUAUUUUUCAAGAGAAUAGCAUUUAAUAGUGGUUAUUCCACCGAUUUAAGGAGUAUUAUGAAGUUUUACUAAAUUAAUUGAUAAAAAAUUAAAAAGAUUUCCAUGAAUCACGAAAGAGAGCUUAACAUACAUUAAUACAAAUGUAGAAUGUGGUUAAAUUUUGUAAAACAAUACUAAAAUUUAUAUGCUUCAGUAUGUAGUGCGUUUAACGUAAAACUCAAUAUAUUCGUAGCAAUUUAUACAUAGAUUUGGAGAAAAAUUCAAAAAUAUGAAAAUAUUUUUUAAUGGAUAGUUUCAUCCUUCCCUAAAAUUAUUAUGAUGUUUAAAGAGGCUUGAAACCUUUGUUGUCUCUAUUUCUCAAGAGAAUAUCGAUUUAUAGUGGUUAUUCCACUGAUUUAGAUAGUAUUAUGAAGUUUUACUAAUUAAUUGAUAAAAGAAAAUUAGAAUGAUUCUCAUAUACCAUGAAAGAUAAUUUAAUAUACAUUAAUACAAAUUUAUAAUGUAGUUAGAAAAUUUAGAACAACAAAUAAAAAAUAUAAACUUCAAUAUAUAGAGCGUUUAACGUAAAACUCAAUAUUUUCGUAGGGGUAACACAUAGACCUUGAAAAAAAUUCAAAAAAUAUAACAAUAUUGCUUUAGUACAUAGUUGCCUCUAGUACUAAUAUAUGAUGAUGGUCAAAGAGGUUUGGAACAUUUGUUGUUUCCAUUUCCCUAGAGAAUAUCGAUUUUAUAAUGGUUACUCCACUAAUUUAGGGAGUAUAUGAAGUUUUACUAAAUAAUUUUAUAAAACAAUUGAACGAUGCUCAUUUACGAUGAAAGAGAGUUUAUCAUACAUUAAUACAAAUGUAGAAUAUGGUUAGAAAUUUUAAAACAACAAUAAAGAGUAUACGAAGUAUUUACCAAAAAGUCAAUAUUUUUGUAGGGGUUAACACAUAGAUUUUGAGAAAAUUUCAAAAAAUACGACAAUAUUGCAUCAUCCACUAACAUAUGAUGAUGUUCAAAGAGGUUUGGAGUCUUUGUUGUCUCCGUUUUUCAAGAAAAUAGUGAUUUUGUAGUGGUAGUUCCAUCGAUUUAGGGAGUAUUAUGAAGUUUUACUAAAUUAAUUGAUAAAAAAAAAUUAUAACGAUUCUCAUAUACCUUGAAAAAGAGCUUAAAAUACAUUAAUACAAAUAUAUAAUGUGGUUAGAAAUUUUUAAGCAACACUAAAGAUCAUAGGAUUUAGUAUAUAAAACAUUUACCAAAAACAUUUACCAAAAACUCAAUAUUUUCGUAGGGGUUAACACAUUUUUGAAAAAAAAUAAAAAAAUACGACAAUAUUGUUUUAAUGCAUAGUUGCAUCCUGCAUUAACAUAUGAUGAUGUUCAAAGAGGUUUGGAGCCUUUGUUGUUUCUAUUUUUCAAGAGAAUAGCGAUUUAAUAGUGGUUAUUCCACCGAUUUAGAGAGUAUUACGAAGUUGUACUAAAUUAAUUGAUUAAAAAUUAAAACGAUUUCCAUGCAUCAUGAAAGAGAGUUUAACAUACAUUAAUACAAAUUUAGAAUGUGGUUAAUUUUUUAAAAAACACUAAAAAAUAUAGGCUUCAGUAUAUAGUGCGUUUAACGUAAAACUCAAUAUAUCCAUAGCAAUUUAUACAUAGAUUUGGAGAAAAAUUCAAAAAAUAUGACAAUAAUUUUUAAUGGAUAGUUGCAUCCUGCAAUAAUAAAUGAUGAUGUUUAAAGAGGCUUGGAACCUUUGUUAUCUCUAUUACUCAAGAGAAAAUCGAUUUUAUAGUGGUUAUUCCACUGAUUUAUAUACUAUUAUGAAGUUUUACUAAUUAAUUGAUAAAAAAAAUUUGAAUGAUUCUCAUAUACCAUAAAAGAGAUUUUAAAAUACAUUAAUACAAAUUUAGAAUGUCGUUAGAAAAUUUAGAACAACAACAAAAAAUAUAAACUUCAGUAUAUAAAGCGUUUAGCGUAAAACUCAAUAUUUUCGUAGGGGUUAACACAUAGAUUUUGAGAAAAAUUCAAAAAAAAUAACAAUAUUGUUUUAAUACAUAGUUGCCUCAUGUACUAAUAUAUGAUGAUGUUCAAAGAGGUUUAGAACCUUUUUUGUCUUCAUUUCUCUAGAGAAUAGCGAUUUUAUAAUGGUUAAUCCACUAAUUUAGGGAUUAUAUGAAAUUUUACUAAAUUAAUUUAUAAAAACAAUUGAACGAUGCUCAUAUACCAUGAAAAAGAGCUUAAAAUACAUUAAUACAAAUGUGGAAUGUGGUUAGAAAUUUUAAAGCAACACUAAAGAUUAUAGGCUUCAAUAUAUAAAACAUUUACCAAAAAUUUAAUAUUUUCGUAGGGGUUAGUUAACACAUAGAUUUUUAGAAAAUUUCAAAAAAUAUGAUAAUAUUGUUUUAAUGCAUAGUUGCAUCAUGCACUAACAUAUGAUGUUCAAAGAAUUUUGGAGCCUUUGUUGUCUCUAUUUUUCAAGAUAUCAUAAUUUUGAAUUGUAAAAUGUGUUUACCUUUUUCCACAUAGUUUUUGACACUGGGAAUGGCUUCAUGCUUUUGGUAGUAAUGUUCUGGUCUUCCACGUUGUUGUAAAAUAUUAAGGCUAAAAAGUGUACUAUGAUAAAAUCUUCAACUUGGAUCACGUAGAAAAAAAUCAUGGAAAAUUGAUUUCUGAAUAAAAGACGAAUGAACUUUAAAAAAGAUCUUUGCCACACUCAAACCAAACUAAAACAACAAAGAAGCUGAAACUAUUGAGAAAAAAAAAAGAGAAACAAUAAAUCUAGGAGAUGGAGCAGUUCACGUAGGGAGUUAGAAAUCUUUUUUCUUUUGAACGUGUCGGACAGUAGAAGCGGUUGUUUGAGAAAAAAAUAGGAUUUUUUCCGGUAACUUUAGAUUUUUUUAGAUACAUAAUUAUUUGAAACAAAAAAAUGUUUUUUUUUUAAUUUUGUAAUACAAUAACACAUGUCAAAAUUUUGUUGGCUAGGUGACUUGUGCUUUAGUAUAUAAGGGAUAUAUUGAUAUUUAUUUUUCAUGUUACUAUUAUAUACUCCCUCCGUUCCUAAAAGAUCCAUGUUAUAGUUUUUUCACACUUUUAAGAAAACAUUUAAAAUUGUAUCUUCCAAUACAUUAUUUUCCUUAAUUAGCUAUUUUCAAUAACUUUUAACCAAUGAAAUUUUAUUAAACACAAUUGUAUUUUUUGAAAAGUACAAUUUUUCAUUAAUUAAUGUCUUGAAAAUGUAAAAAAUGUAUCUUUUUAAAACAAAUUUUUUUUCUAAAAAAUGGAUCUAUAAGGAACAGAGGGAGUAUCAUAUAUGUAUCAUCAUACAAUUAAUCGUAUUUUAUAUGUACCAUUAUAUAAAUAAUCACAUAUAUCUUAUAUAUUUUAAAAUUUAAUGUAAAAUAUAAAAAUCAUAAUUUAAGUUGGUGUUUGAAAUUGAGCUUUGUAUUGUAAUUUUUUUAUAUAUAUUGAAAACAUUUUUUAUAAUGGUUACUGGAAAAUAUCUUAGUAAAAAUUAAUUUUUGAAUAUAUGUAUAUUUUUGAAUCAAUUUUAAAUUAUUAUUUUGAUUUGAAAUACGUAUAUCAAGUUUAAAUUUUGUUUAUGAUUAUUUUAUAAAAAAAAUGUUUUUAGGUAAUUAGAUUGAAUCAUUUUUCGUAUAUUUUAAAUCUGAUCCAGAUAGAUAGUUUCUCAUAAUAUAAUGGAUUUCUAAUUUUCUUAAUAAGAGAAACCCAUUAUUUAUUUUUUCCGUAAUAUAAACACUUUGAUAUAGGUCAAUCAAAUAAAUUGAACAGAGAUGUUUAUGGGCCAACCAAAUAAACGACAUAAUUUUGUGAACAUGGGCCUUAUAGGGCCCAAAUCAUGAGUUUUGUUGUUUAUAUAAGAUAAAUGUUACACUGGAUAAUGUGUCGUGUGUUAUCAUCCUCCGUCUCUCUUCCACCAGAAGCAGACGUUUGUUGUUGUUCUCUUGGCUCCAAACGUAUGAACCAGAACAAAAGGCUUUUUCGAUACUUCCGUGUUGCAAACCCUAGAUUAUAUCUCCAAUCAAUCUCGUGAUUUAGAAGAAACGCUAAACCGAUCAUCAUUAUCAUGGACUGCUCAUGCAGAACUCGCCCUUCCUCUCUCCUCAUCUCUUCCGAACCGUCUCUUCGCUUCCCUCCCUCGAAUCUCAGCUUACUGGUGUGUAUAAGCAUCUAAAGUUCAAGGCUUUUGAUUCAAAAUUAUCAAUUAUGUGAAUUGGGAUUUAAAGUUUUGGCCUUUUUGUAAUCAGGUGCCCAAAGAAGCGAAGCUGGUGAAGCAGCAGCGAAUGGUAGUGAGGAGUUGUUCUUCUGGGUCUGCUCAAAACGGCGACGUUGAUGGGUUUUCUUUAAAGCCAAACAAACUCUUUGUGCAAGAGGUGAGUUUUCAUGGCUUUUUUUUGUAGUUGAGAAGAGGGAAAAGUUGAUCACUUUGUUGGAUUCUUAGGCGAUUGGAGCUGAGUAUGGAGAAGGGUUUGAGACUUUUAGGCAGGAUGGUCCUCUUAAAGUCGAUGUGGUAAGAGCUAUUUAUAUGUUUAUAAGUCUUUUCUUAUGUAAGGUAGGUAACAUGUGGUUUGCUUGUAGGAUUUCUGGAAUGAGAAACUGCAAGAUGGGUUUCUUCAAAGGAUACGUUACGCAAUGAAACCAGAUGAAGCCUAUGGACUUAUCUUCUCUUGGGACAAUGUCGUGGUAAUUGUUUCGACUUCCAUCUUUAUGUUUUGCAAGUUAGUUAGUGGAAGUGUUUGUAGUUGUAGCUACGAUAGCUUUCCUCUCCUGGUGGAGUAUAUGAGGGUUUUGUCUUAUAAGUCUAUUGGUUUUUAGUUUGUUUAGAUGAUACUGAGUGCCCCCUAUUAUUUGGUAAAUCUCAAAAGUUGUAAAUAGAUUUGCAUGGCCAUACUAGUUUUGGGACUGUUUUAGAUAAGCUUUCUUUUUCUUCUUGUAUUGUAUGGCACGAGGAUCGUCUUUGAAGUAGCAAGUAAUUGCUUUAUUAGAUGAUGUUUGCAUGGUCAAUGGUUACUAGUUUUGCGUUCUGAAGAAGUUGGAAUUUCUCAAUUUUUCCAUUUAUGGUUCUUAUUUUGUAGGCUGAUACUCGAAGUUUGAAGUUGGAUGCUUGGAAGCAGCUAGCUGCCGAAGAAGGUAAGCUUUUAUCCUCUCCUGCUUUUGUUUUUACCCAAUUAUAAUCUAUUUUCUUUUUGCAUAUACGUGAGUGGAAAGAGAUGUCGUGCAAUAGCUGCUUUUAGUACUUCCCAUGCCUUUUAAGGAAUGUCUCGAGAGAUAGCAAUGAACUCAGCAUUAGGUUAUCUGCAUUUAGGCCGUCAUUGUCGGUUCUGCGUUUUCUUUUGACGUCUUAAUGUUAUAGUAGUGUGUGAUUCCAUCAAUCCAACUCACUUCCUUUAGUGUUUAGUCGUCUUUUUGCUUUUCCACUUUGCAAAAUGAAAAUCUUCAUUUGAAACAAUUAAGCCAGCCUUUGUCUAUAUAAACCUUUGGAUGGGUCAUUGCAGUAUCAAGUUGCCUAAUUUACGUAGUAGACUUCUGAUAGAUGAAUUGUUCUGGUGAGAUAACCUGGUGUGUUGGGCUCUUUUGCUAGUAUGUAAAAACGUCAGAAGCAUUAAAUUAUAUCUUACUGAUAUUUAAUAGUCAAGUUCUCUAAGUAGAUAUAUGUACUUUAAAUUGUUUGGCAGGAAAAGAAAUUGCGGAGGAGAAUGACAUUCAAAGACUGAUGCUUUAUGCUGGCGCUGACCAUGUGCUUAGUAAGGUUGGUGAUUUAUAGCAGUCAUUUUCUUGCAUAUAUAGUUUAAGCAAACCAAUGAUAUGAAUAUUUCUUGUAUAUUCAAUCCCUUCACUCAUGGUAUUGUUUUGAUAUUUUUUUAGUCAGCCAUAACGAGCUCUAUGUUUCUGCUAGAUUUUAUAUGAAUGUUAUCAUAAGGAAAUGUAUUUAACUGAUGGAUGAUUCCAAAUGUUUCAGGUCUUGUUUUGGGAAAAGACGCAAAGCAAGAUCGAUACAUUGAAACUCAGGCUAUCUGAAAUAUACUAUGAUAAUCUUCUCAGGGUAAGGACUUUCUUUAUCAAAUGUUUGUAUUACUAGAAAUGCAUGUUUGUUCCCUGAGUUAUUUUCACUAUCGACAUUUCCAGCUCACAGAACCAAAGGAAGGACUUAAAGAUUGGCUCGACGCUGUCACAAAUGCUCGCAUUCCCUGUGCUGUUGUCUCAAAUCUUGAUCGAAAGAACAUGAUGAAUGCUCUUGAACGGAUGGGGCUUCAAAACUAUUUCCAGGUCAGUAAUAAAUAGCUUUUAGAGAAUCAUCUUACUUUUUAUCAGGUAAAUGGCUUGCUUAUAUCUGCUGACACUUGUCUUCAUCCUCCGUUUCAGGCUGUGGUUUCCGAGGAAGAUGGUAUGGAAUCUAUAGCUCAUAGGUUUCUUUCUGCUGCUGUGAAGGUACUGUUAAUAAUUCAAAUAUGAAUACUAACCAAUUUUUCUGAAAAAAUGUUGAAAAGUUUUAAAACUUUGGUGCAGUUGGAUAGAAAACCUUCCAAAUGUGUUGUGUUUGAGGAUGAUCCAAGGGGUAUAACAGCUGCUCAUAACUGUACUAUGAUGGCGAUUGGAUUAAUCGGUGCUCAUAGAGCGUAAGUAAUCUAGUUUACUGUUUUUGAGGAUCUAGAUACAUUUCCAGCAUCUAACUUUAUUUUUUUUUUUAAACAAAUAUGCAGGUAUGAUCUGGUUCAGGCUGAUCUUGCUGUUGGAAACUUUUACGAGCUAUCAGUGAUAAACCUCAGAAGGUUAUUUGCAAACAAAGGCUCUACAUUCAUGGAGCACGAGAAACAAAUCAUAGAAAAAUCGCCUCCCAAAAGAAAGCUAACCAUUGAUACCAUAUUCUAAAGGCAUUGGAUCGUGGUAUAUAGUAGUUAGGUUUAGGUUCUUGUCGUUAUGGUUUUAUAUGUUUGACAUUAUAUGUUUAAAUACUAGAAGAAGAACCGUAUUGAUUGAGUUAAAUUCAUAGCUUAUUAUCGCUGUUUCUCUGGUAUAUAUGGAUUCUUCAAGAUCAAUGUUUAUAUCUCCUUGCGUUUUUGUGCCAUUUUGGUUGUGUACAUUUUUCCUGAGAAAGUGGACCCAAGAAAACAUUCUUGGGGAGCUUUGGUGAUAAUAGCAUCAGUGGUGAGCUGUUGAAACGAAUCAGAUACCUUUAAAGUAAAAACCCCGAAAAGACAAAAACUGGAACAGUGACUGUUCAGGCGAAGUGAUGAAAGCUGAAACAACCAUAUUAUAUGCUGAAAAAGAUGUAUAACAUUAUCUAAAGUUCUAAACUAGUACAUUUAAUAUUUUUCUGUAACAAUCUAAAACUGUUUUUAUAAGUCGUUGUAUUCAUCAUGAUGAUUUAUAUAAGGAUAUUAACUUUUUGAUCCAAGUGCGUUAGGGCAGUUCAAGUUCUCUCUUGCUCUGUCUCCUUGUGUAAAAGAUUAUGGCUACAAAAUCUUGAAUUUACUAAUUUCUAACAAAUGAUUUAUAAUGGUCGAAGUAGCAUAUAUAUUAGGUCGGAUAUACAAGAGAAUAGUUAGAGAAUAAAUAAAAAAAGAGAUUGUCCUUUUGUGAAAUGGAUAAAUGGAGCAUUUUGAUUAGUUCCAAGUAAAACCUAAAAGGGCCUUUGAUUCAAAUUGCAAAUUUGAUUGACAUGUGCCCUAUUAAUUGUACUCCACAGAAUCGCAUAAAACACACAGCUUUUAUUAAAGUAUGUAUCACUCCUGUUAUUUAGAUUAAGAUUCUAAUUGUUCAAUAAUGAAUAUAUUUAAUUCAUUUCCGCAUUUUAUUGGCAGGGAUUUUAAAAACGGAAAAGAAAAGUGGGGACACUUUUUUAUGUUUUGUUACUAAUCAUAAUCAGAAUGUUCUUUGAGAGACUUCUUAUCCUCGUUCCAUUAUGCAUAGCUUAAACUUGUAAUGAUUAGAUCUCUAAAGUUGUUCUAAUGUCCCAACUGUCAUUAGCCAAGAGCAUGAUUAAUGAGGGUUUUUAGGGUGGAGUUCUUAGCGGAAUAUAAGAAACCGUCUCUUAACUUUUAACUAAAAAAACUAAGAAUUGGUUCUUAAAUAUCUUAUUCAAGAGCCGGUUCUUAGUUUUUUAGUUAAAAGUUAAGAGACGGUUUCUUAUAUUCCGCUAAGAACCUCAUCCUAAGAACCUCCCAUUAAUCAUGCUCUCGAGGCUUUCUUGCUAAAGCGUUCUUUUUAUGCACUGAACAACAGUUUCAGACAUUGUUUAGCUGAGUGAAAUUGGUUUUGUUUUGGGUUGAACUCAAGUUUAGUUUUCUAGCCAAAAAAUCAAUAAAAAUGUUAUAGAUCUUUUAUACUUUUAUGUUUUGUCUCCUUAUAUAAUAGCAAGCUAAACAUAUAACCCAAGAUAAAAUUCCAAUAGAAUAUUGACUUUAUGAAACUAGUUCGAAUUAGACAUCACUAGAAGUGUACAAAAUUUUAACAAGCUUGUGUUAUAACAUGUAACUCCCUUCCUUAUAAACCCUAAAGUGAUCCAAAUGAUUUAAGAAAAACAAAUUCCAUGUAAUAGAUCUUUAGUCUUUUAUUUCUGGAUAAUAAUAAUAUGAAGUUCUCAUCCAACAAGAGAAUUUUUUUGUCCUGAAAAGUAGAUUCAAUAUAGUGGUUUCCUAAAGUAAAAAAUGAAACUAACUUCAGUUAUAACAAAUUAACGACACGUUUCUGUAAAACACACUUUAGAAAAAAAAAGGAGGUGCAAAUAAGAAAGUUAGGAAUAUGAAAUUUGUAUUCACCCAGUUGGAUCUUAGCUUUUAUUUAUCUUAAUUUGUUCUCAUAUUAAAUUAAGUGGGUGUGAUUGUAAUGCGACUUUUGGACGAAUUUGUACAAAAGAAGUUUUGGGUCCACUUCACCCCAGCUAGCAAAAUGUUGAUUUUGACACAUUAGUGAUAAUAUAGAAAAUUAAUGAAUUAAAAUGCUGAUCAUCCAACUUUUUUUUUUUGUUUUUUUUUUGCUUUAGAUCAUCCAACUAUUAUGAUUAACAAUCUGUAAAACAUGUUUUAAAUAUAUAUAUAUAUAUGUUAUCUUUAGAUGCAAUUAUGUUAGUACUGAAUUACUAAUAGAUCGAGUUUCACUAAGUUACGUAUAUCUGGAUGAAAUGAAACGAAGAUGGAUAAUCUUUGAACGAAUUAUUGUGCUGCGCUCGUCUUUUUCUUUAUAUGUUGAUUAAAAUAUACAUGAUCACAUAUACUUUUCAAAGAAAGUGAUCUUCGGUCAAGUAAGUAAUUCAACUAACACACAAGAGGACAAGAUGUUGCUUGUGUUGCCUACACACUUUAGAGAAAAUGGGACAAAAGUCUACACCUGAUUAUUAUCGAAAUCUUGAAAAGUUAGUAUUUUCUUACGAUCGACUCAUUACAAUUUUUAAAACACCUUAACCUUGUUUUAGCCGUAUACUAUUAAUGAAAAAAAUCGAAUCAGAGCUAUGUAAUAUGGUGUGGCCAAUACAUCAUUUCUUAUUUCAAAUGUGCACUAAAAUAUUAAUGAUUAGCCAGUGAGAACACAAUUUUAAUACAUUUUUAGUGGGGUUUAGAAAUAAGAGAACACAAGAGUGGAAAAAGCAGAGGCCAACACUUCGCCACUAAUCACAUUGGUUUGGCCAACUCCAUCAUUAAAAAGUUAAAAUCUCUCCACUGAUCUAACUUUCUUAACCUCUCCCAAAUCCACUGCAUCUAAUCAUACAUAUUUUAAAAUCAUUUCAUAUGCUUAUCAUACUAAUCAAGUAAUGGAUUCAACCAUUUACCAAUAAUCGCUUAAAUACCUCAAUAAACACAUAUAUUAUAUGCACUAUACAUGGUCUUGUAGAUACUGAACUUCGAAAGUUAUGAAUCAAGUUGAAUGAGCAGUUUGAUCACCAAUUGCAUCCUACAAUUUUGAUACAAAAAGUUCCAAUGCUAAGUUAUGUUUUGAUAUACCUCUUUCUAUGGAAUAUUUUGUUGAAUAAAAAUCUAAGUAGAUAUCAUUUUUGUAGUUAACUAUACAAAUCAAAAACUAAAGGUAAGAUACAACAGUAGUAUAGUAUAGAUAAUUGAUUGAAAAUUAGUAACCGAGGAAGAUUCAUAUGGUUAGUGCCUUGUUGGUUGUCGAAAUCAUGUGGAAGCGAACAAAAAUCUGACAGCGCAAAAAGACUGGUCGAACGAUACUUUUCCAUGAAACUUUCAUUCAAUUCAUUUCUUAUUUUCUUAUUUUCUUAAUUUCUAUUUACAUUUUUUGCGUGUGCAUAUAGUUUUUUUUUGUUUCAAAAUAAGACUUUAUACAAUUCCUCCUAAGAACAUACAAUGCUGUAUGAAUUAUUUUCGAGGAAGGACCCACUAAUUUAAGAUCCAUUUUGUUACUUAUCCAAUAGAUAAAGAACCGAAAUAAAAUAAAUAUAUUUGUAAGUUGGAUGCAAAGUGGAAACAUGUCCAAGUGUGUUCCUUUUUACCGACCCAAAAACUAUAUUAAGUCUGGGUGGUCGGUUUAUAAAUGUUUUGCUUUCUAGUCUUAAUUUGUUAGCAUUUACUAUAAAACUAACAUAAUGUUUUAUACAAUAUUUUUUUGAAUCUAUGAUACGAAAGUCAUACAUCUAUCUAUCAUCGGUGCAGCAAAAAUAAUCGACCAAAAAUAGCGUGCAACUGAAAAACUUUAAGCAAAAAAAAAUACAAAAAAAUAAAGGAUAUUGCAUGUUGUCAUACUGUCAUGCACCCAAAACGUUGGGGCCAUAAUUUUUUUAACCGUAAUAUUACUGUUUAACACAUUAUUUUCUUAUUAGCUGCUAAAAAUUCUUACCCAACAAAUGAUAACUAAUUAAAGACAAAAUGGUAGACAGAGAUUAAUAGGUGGUAAAUGAUAUAUACAUGGCUAUAAAUUGAACUAUGAGGAAUCAAUUCUUAUAAUAAUAUUAAUAUUGACUGUAUCACUUACACAUAUAUCUUAUCUCUCUUUGUUUCUCUUAAAAACAUCUCUUAUCUCUAGUGUCUCGUCUUAGUAUCGAUCAAUGCCUGUAAAGAAUGAUUCUAAUUCACAAAGAACACACCUUCUGCUCGCUAUAUGCGAGACCUUGAUGGUCUCUUGGUUCAAUAUUACAAUAUUCCAUCUUCUAAAUCAUUUCACUGACAUAUCUUUUAGAUAAUCAAAAGUUUAAUUUGAGUGCUUUCUACUAAAAAGCCAUAACUCGUCAGCGAAUUUUAAAUGAUAAAAAUACUGGAGAUUUAUUUUUAUUCCAGCUAGUAUAGUCGAUUUUCUGUUUUUGUUUUAAUAAAUAGUACAAUCGAAACCAACCUUUAAGUUGUGUGGAUGAGAUAAAAACAGACAAGGUGGAGCCGUUGAAUUAUGAUACGAGAAACAUAAACAUGUUUGAACUUUUACCAAAAAAAAAAAUUGAAAUGGUUGUAAAGUAGUUGAAUUGCAUUUAUUAAUUGCAAACUUAUAACUCCAAAGGCAAAAUGACUGCCGAAUGAGGGCAUCUCCUCACGUGAAGUCGGCCACCACCAAUCCAUAUUCCAAUAAUUGAUAUAAUUUCACAAACCAAAUACUAGUAGUAUUGUUGUUAUUUAUCAGACUGUAUUACUUUAGUUAAGAAAUAUACACAUGCGUAUUCAAAUAUGAACUGAGAUGGUAGAAACGAAGUAUUUAAAACAUUCUAUAAUAAGUCUAGGGUUUGUGUAGAGUCUAUAAUAAGUCUAGGGCUUAUAUUAAAAUAUAUAUGUGUUGCGAUAAGAAGUCCGACUUGUGAGGAGGUUAACAAGGCGAAAUAACACAUGAUUUUUGAACAUACAAUUUAAAAGUAUAACUCCUAACUAGAAUAGGUACACACCAAAAUGUAUGCAUCUUAUAGUCCACUAAUAUAUUACAUGUAAAGGCACAAAUAGAAUAGGUAUAUACAAUCACUUGCUUGUCAUCUGACAUUCAAUUGCUGUAAAACUUACCUAAAUUUAUGUAUGCGUCCAUCUUUUUAAUUUCUCGUCGUUUAUUUCACGAUGUACUGAGUUAGACUUAGACAUGACUUGGUUUUGAACACUUUCUAUGCACACACCAUGUCUAGUUGCUUUGGUAUUGUUGCAUCUGUGGACAUGUUCUUAAUACAUAAAAGCCUCAAGGGCGACUACAAAUCCAAUUAUCUUUACUACUUGAUCUUUGAUUAACCUUCAAAAUGAGGAUUUGAAGGUGGUUACUCCAACCAUAAAUUUUCAAAAAAAAUCUUUAAAAUUUUAUUUAUAUGCAUUAUAGUCAUUAGAGUAAUAUUUAUUAAAAAAAGUAACUAUAAAGACAGAAAAAAAAAAGAUAGUCUGAGGUUGUGAAUAGUGAAAUUAACAUCAAAAUUAGAGGUUUCAUUAUUCACAACUUCAAAAUUUGAAGAUUUGAAAUUGAGUUGGAGAUGCUGUAAUGUUAAUGUUAGAACGUUCGUUUCUUGACGAAAAUAUAUAGUGGUAUAAUAUAUAUGAGUUAUAAUUUAUAAGAUAACAGUCAGACCCAAACAAUAAAUAGCAUGGCACUCGUAACAAAGACACAUGAAUGAAUGGCCCCGACACGAUACUCGACCUCCAAAUCUUCAUAUUAAUUUCUCUCGUUCAAGAUAUGUCUGUACCAUCUACAUCAAGAUCAAAAUUUCAAAUAUUAUAGGAUUAACUCAACCUAGUGGAGAAGUAACUACACCACGUAUUAAAAUCAGUUCUAUAUAUGCGCAGUUAUUUUUUCCCUUACGUACUACCCCUGGCGUACUACAAACCAUUUAUUGAUGUUGAUAAUUGAUUAUACGAAUAUAAAUCGACAAAAUCAUUUAUUGAUAAAGAGUAAUUUACCUUUAUGUUUACUAGGGC
rnacentral:lncRNA from 1 species